UAACAUACCCCACUAACCAGAACAUAUGCAGAAACUAACUCCUAAAAACAAGCCACUUCCUAUUGACUAGGACUCCACUAUUACAUUAUUGAAGACACAUAAAAACAAAGUUAACUACUUCAACAAUUGAUGGUGUCACUUCAAGGAGUUCUCAAUGUCGAUCACGAAUCGAUACUUAACAUCUCUCUUGAUGAGCCUCUCCAGAGCUUCGUUGGCAUAAUCGAUCGGUAUCACUUCGAUGUUUGGGUAUAUCUUCUGUGCUGCACACAGGUCUAUCAUUUCUUGGGUAUCCUUUGUUCCUCCCGUUACGCUACCUGAAACAGUUCUCAUAUCUGCCAAAAGUUCACCGCAAGCAACUUAGUUCACCUAUCAGGUAUAAAAUUUCAUUUAGUAAUCAGAUUUGAGAACAAAAACAUACUGAGGUUAAGGCUGGCUGGACUGAAUUUAACUUCGCUCAGGAAGCCGACCAAUGCUAGAAUGCCACCCGUCUUCAAAAGAGACAUGUAAGGAUCAAAUGGGUGAUCACCGGCUGCCGUGUCGAUUAUAAAGUCCAGGGACUUAGCAAUGGCCUGCAUGCAUUGGAUUUAUCAGAUCACAACAGAAUUUGACCACCAUGGAUCUCAAUGUGGAUAAUUCUAGUUUUUCCUCUUUUUACCUUCAUCUGCUCUAGGUCAGAUGAGAUAACGAAAUGGUCAGCCCCAAGCAGGCUCAGUGCUUCCUCCUUUUUAGAAAUGCUUGUACUGAACACUGUGACUUUCAGUCCAAAAGCCUUCCCAAACUUAACUGCCAUAUGACCGAGCCCGCCAAGUCCAAUUACACCUAGAGACUUACCAGGUUGGUUCAUCUUGUGACGUAUCAUUGGAGUGUACACCGUGAUUCCAGCACAGAGCAAUGGCGCUGCUAGAUCCAUCGGGUAGUUUUCUGGAAUCCUGAAGCAAUACCUGUCAAUGAAGCACCACAAUUAAGUUUCCAAAUAACACCAAGAGAGGAAGUGAUUUCCCAAUAGAAUCAGCAUCUUGUCUUUGUUGUCUAAAAGGAAUCAAAUCACAGAGCCAGAAAUCCUAUCUUCUGCAUGCUUGGGAAUUUUACUUGCUUAGACCACAAUUCAGCAUCAUGUUGUUUCUGUGAUCCUUGUUCUGACCACAAAUUGCUCUAGACAAACAUUUCUUGCUGUAGCAAUGUAAAUAAAGCAAUUGCAGAAUACAGGAGGCCACACUCGAUUAAAAUUAAGAAAAGACACUUGCUCUAAGAAAGGAAACUGGUGGCAUAUCACAUAUGCUUGACUGAACACGUAAUUUCUCUAUUUCCUUCAAUCAAUUUCUCCAAGGGACACAAGAUUCCUGUGGCUCUAUCAGAUACAAGAAUUAGUGAAAGCACAUACAUUUAGCUACCCAUUUGAUCUGAUACUUAUGAUCUAACUCUAACAAUCUAAGGACAGCUUAUUCCAUUCCUGACAAUGGUUAUUGAAAAGAAAGAAUUUCUUUUUGCAUUUAAUAAAGCCAAUUCUCCAUUGAAUGGUUUGAAUGGUAAUUAGAUACAAAGGACUUAAAGACUCUCCAGAGCCGUUAUAGAAAGUAUCUUUAUCCCUUUCCACAAGAUGCAAUUAAUACCUAAAAGCCAUUCCUCACAGUCCUAUGCAUUAUGCCACUUCUGGUCACAAUCAGAAAUUCAGAAUACAAAGAAAAUUAGCAGAGAAGAAGACAUGACAUGAAAUCUUUUUUUGGCCACCAUGAUUUGGAAUUCUGUCACAGUGCAAAAUGCUGCCUAAUAACGCUGUGUCAAUAAGCAAUUACCUUUCAUGGAUGACAAUGUGACUAGAAUAUCCUCCCUUUGUGACUGUACCGUCCGCAUCGAUUCCAUCAAAAGUCAAAACCGCCUUUUCACAUUGGGUUUCUAGCCUGUCAUUGCAAUACUCACACUCUCUGCAUGAAUUGACAUAAGUUCCCACCCCCACAUGAUCGCCAACUUUGAAGCGUUGGACACUGGAGCCAACCUGUUUCACAAUUCCAACUAUCUCGUGCCUGAAUCAAUCAAAAAAAUCAUUUGCAAAUUUUGUUCAGAGAAUUAUGAGGAUGGUGCUAAGAAAAAAAGAUUAACAUUUGAAUCACGCUGCAUCCUACCCUGGCACCAGAGGAUACUUGGAGUGUCCUUGCACAUUCCUAGUCCAAGCCACAUCUGCAUAGCACACUCCACAGUGCGUGAUCUUAAUCGAGACGUCUUCGCUUCCCACGGCCCUAAAGAGAUGAUUCCCAAACAGGUGAGCAUAUAAUCCAGUGACUAAUCAGACUAGGGUACCUUUUUUUUUCCAUUUUCAAGAUCAACAAACUAAGCUUGACCUACGAUUAUCGAGAAAACAAGAAACCAGAAAUGAGAAAAGGAAAAAUUCCAUGACUGCAAGCAUAUUUGUCCAUACGCUAGAUACAACCUCAAAUGCUCAGAAAGGCAGCCAGUACAGGAUCCUCAUGUCUGCCAUGAAAUUCUGAGUAACCCAUUACCAACAAUUCUCGACCCAGAAUUCAGCGCAUACACAACAAAAGAAAGAACGAAAAAAUGAAAUGGUCUGGACCGAAAACUGUCUCGCGUGAACACUGUACUGAGACUCUCGCAUGAACACUUUCGGUAGAAAUCGAAAAAGAAAAAAAAAUGGCAAUACCUGCGGGUGAAUUUGUAGGGGGAGAGGAACCCAGAAGGGUCCCGGGCAGCCCAACCGAGGCAAUCCUCCUUCCCACCCUCCGAGCUCAUCUUCUGUACCUACACACCCAGCGAAGCAAUCACACAAAUGGGUACGGUUAGAUUCAUCCAAAGGAGAAGAAGAAAGGGUGAGAACUCGAACGAGAAAGUGCCCAAGAUCAGAGACUCAACGGGUCAUCACUCGGCGAGGACUCGAGUCACAACGAGCUCGCCAUCACUCACCAACUCACUCACUCACCCACACCCACCUACCCAAACACAACCCCACGGGCCACAGCAACUCAGAGAGAGAGAGAGAGAGAGAGAGAGAUGACUACGGAGAUGGAGAUGAAGAGAGGUUACGCUGUGGAGUAUGCAGGAGCGCGAAGAGGGUGACGAGCCGAGCACAGUCGAGGACGGGAGGUUCAACGAAGACUUUUUUGCCCCCUCCUACUUCGCAGGAAAGCUGCGAGUAAUCCGAUGGAUUUUAUAGCGUUGGCCCGAGAUAGUUACGAAAAUAUUGGAAGGAAAAAUUAUCCGAAACUUUAACUCAACAUGUACCGUGAUCUAUAAGGAAAAAUAUAGUAUAUAGAAAUGAAAGAUGAGUAGAAAAAGAAAUGGACGAUUGCUGUCAAAUUAAAACUAUUCCCAAGUCAACUUGUCGGUCCCUUUCCUUCCAUUAUAAUCCUUUUUUAUAAUGUAACUGAAGAUUACUGGCUUUGUCACAACCAACGUAAACCCUCCAAAAGGUAAAAGAACUUAUGCAAAAGUAUAAAAAUGAAAGAUGUGUUGAAAAAAUGAGGACAAUAACCAAACGCGUGCAACUCAAUUGCACUUUUCGAUAAGGAUAAACUGUACCUCUCCUCAUCAUUGAAAGAGAUGGGAUUAAAUGCCUCUCCUCAUCAUUGAAAGAGAUGGGAUUAAAUGCAGACGUGAUUGACAUAGAGAUUAUCACAAGAAAUUAAAUAAAAAUAAGUCUUUCUUGGUAACGAGAUGUUUGUUCUCGUGACCGUGUAGGUCUUUCUAGGUUCUCUGACGCGUGCCAUGAGGUCAUGGCAUGUUAUGCAACCAAAUAUAUCCAUUCUAUAUUUCUAUGGUAACUAUCCAUCGUUACCUCCUGUGAACCUAAGAAGAACAAAACCAAUCCAUAAAGCUGUGGAGGAUCAAGAACAACCUGCCAUAAGUUAUUGAUGAACUCAGUUAAUUGUUCGAAGCCUUAGAAGCGAAUCAUUAAAACUUUAAGCAACUAAAAUGUCAGAUGCCAAACAGAAGGAAAAUCUACAGAGCCAACAUCUGGAUCGGAUCAAUGAUGGCAUAUCAACAACUAAGGGAAAAAUCUGCUACUAAAUAUUUAUCUGAAACUAGAGGAUGACGUUGCACUUGCAUAACUCCGUUAACGCAGAUCAAUGGUCAUGCUCUGUCUAGCUUUGUUAGAAGUUUGAAAACUCUACACGGACAGGCACUAUUUGCAAGAAGACGUGUUCCCUAUGCUCAUCUUUGUACUGAGCUGGAAAUGCUUUUAGCAGAUAGCUGUGCCUCCAGAAACAAAUCGCAUGAAGUGGCCCACAAUUCUCUGGCAAGUCCGGUGUCGUACGAAACUGAAGAAGAGUUGAUAGUCCGGCCCCUCCCACCAAAGAAAUACACACCAGAAAUUUCCUAUUUUUGCAAGACAGCGGCUAUUAGUAAGCACUGUUCCAACAUAUAAUAGCAGCCACAUAAGAUUGAUACCAUAGAUUAUCAGCAGAGAAGGGAAAAUCAAUUCUGGAAACAUACUGUCAUACCGUAGAAUCAACAUUAAUGGAUUUUACGUCCAAUGUUAGUGUGACCUCAGUUGAGGAUAAAACGAGAGAGACUCAUUCAAGAUGGUUCAGAUAAGUGAAGCACCAGUACAGGAAUGCUUUACACCAGCCUAUUUAGUGGGAAAAGAUCACUAUCACCCAUAAAUGCAGCUGUGGUUGCCUAUUGAGAUGAAACCCAGGUGAUUUCAUUGCAGUCCCAUCUAGCAUAUAGCAGAAAUUAAAGAUAAUGAUUGCAGUCAGAAAAACUCACAGGAGGGGCAAGGGCUGCAUCCAGAACUGAGUUGACCGCACCUUCAGGUGAAUCCAAAAGACCCAUUGCAGUUAAAAAUGCAAAAGCUGUGUAGGACAGGUAAGGGGGAACUUCUCGCAUGAUACUGGUUUUCACUACUCCAGGAUCCACAGCACUGGAAAUAAAAAAGAAACAGGAUAACAUCUCAAUUGUGCUGCCAGCAUGUAUUCAUACACAAAACUUUAGAGAAAGACAAUCUACAAAGCCUAAGUACAUUUUCUUGUUUAUAAUCAACUAGUAUAGUAUCUCUGAUAACAAAAACCAGGUUUUCAACUAAAAAGGGAUAGCUCAUAGAUUUGUGGAAAGUGGUAAGUGGAAAGUUCAAAUUCAACUACCAUACAAACUUAAGGGUGAGAUUACACUGUCCUACAAGAAUGCUUAAAUCCAGAGUGGCAGGAUUGUUGAUACAUACAGAAUGGAAACAUGACAGGAGCUUUCCAAGCGAAGGCGUCGAUGAAGUUCAUAUGAGAACAGCAGAAGGCAUACUGUAAACAAACAGGAAACUCUUACUAAAGUUUGUGAGAAGAUGUGACAUUUGCUUCUCAAAUAUUGCUGUAUCUUUUAUUCUAUCCUUUCCUUUUUGGUGCUAGGCUUCUCGAAUAAAACAUGAAACUUACAUUUUGAAUAACCAUAGAUCUGUGCACAUGGAUACUGUUUCAUCCUGAAGGAACUCUUCCCAAUAACACUUUCCUUGUCAAAUGUCGCACCACAUACUGAAGAAGAGGAGAACCGAGGAAAAGGAGAUUUUAAAUAAAUAAAUAAAAACUAUGACUCUAAACCUAGUAUAACAAUUGCACUAAAACAGAAACUGCACAGAGAAGUUGGACAGCAAGAAACUACAAGCAAACAAUACCAACUAUUUGACAUCAUAAAAGAGUUCUGUAACUUAGACAUUGAGUACAGCUAUAUUGCAUGUUCUAGUUUUAGCUUGCUAUCUCAGGCACUGUUAAAGUCCUAGAUGGGCACCAUAUUUAGUUCACUAAUUGAAUGAAAAAAUGACAUGCCAUAAGGGUCAGCAAGCCCGGGUUUCACAGAGGAACCUCCUUGCAGGCUGGCCACCGGCUGCAAUCAGUGUUCCACAGAUAAAUGGAAGUGUUUCUGACCACAAAGUGAAAAUAUCUUACCGCUUCGAUGUGUAAAGGACGUGACAUUGACUAUCCGGGAUGGAACAGGGCUGUUUCUGAGAAGUGGUAAUAAAUGCUUUGUCAAAAAGAAUGGUCCCAUGUAGUUCGUUGCCAUCAUCCUGGUGCAUAAAGAGGUGGAGAGAAGAAUCAACAGGAGAUCAGGCAACAAUGCAUUAUGAAAGACUGCAAUUAAUAAAUUCCAUUCCAAAAAGAGAAAAGCAAAACAGUGGGAGAUGCCACUUGCUACCGUGGCAACAAAUCUCCACAAGUAAACUACAAGUUGACAAGGUAUAUAGGAAAAUCAAAAUCACUAGAACAUUAGACUUUCAAUUGGGAAAGUGACGACACUAUUAUCGUUACUUAUUUAGAAAUUAGAACAUAUGCAUCUCAUUAGUUAAAUCUAAAACAACAGAAUAUAUAUUCUCCACUGUGACUGCUGUAGUGUUUAGAUUGCCAAAUAUUUGGAUCUUUGGAAAGAAUAUUGCAAAAAAAUUCCCAUGGCAAUAAGAUAAUUACUCAUCGAAGCCUUCAGCUGUAAUUCUGUAGGAUGUUGCCAACAUUCCAGCAUUAUUUAUCAGAAGCUGGACUGAGGCAUGCAUAUUUGAUUCCAACAGCCAUUGCUCAAGGGAGCAUCUGAAGUGUAAGAUUGACUCGAUAGAUGAUAUAUCAGCUUGAAAAGCUUUAAGAUGGGCAUCCUUAUUGUGUUUACAAAUCUCUGCCACUCUCUGUGACCCAAAAAAAAAAAAAGAAUCAUUGAGAGCAUCAUGUAGAGCAAAGAAGCUAAAACGGAUGCCGCACAACAAGUACCUCUGACAACCUGUGAGCAGACCGUCCAACUGCAGAGAAAGCAUAAAUUUCAGUUAAAUAAUUGUACCUGCAUGGAUCAAAACUCAUUCUUCUUGUAACAAAGAAAAGAUGCAUUUUGCAUUAACUCUAAGGACAACAAACAGUCAUUCGUACAUUAUUUGUCACAUUAAGCAAUUGACAAGCUUUUCUCUUUGCUUGAAUCACCAAGUAAAGACCAGAGAACAUUCAUAUAUCUACCCAUAACUCUUCCUAUGAGAGUGUUCAUCACAGACUGGUGGCAUUUAUGUAGACAGCCUAUUUUUUUUUCCUCCUAAUGUAGCUAUCAUCAGGAUGAUCCAGCACAAGCAAUCACAGAAAAUCCAGGCAUGGGGUUGAACUAAGUGUUGCUACAUCCAUAUCAAAGGAAUGAGGAGGAUAAACCACAGACUGCGACAUUACCAAGGACAACAACGAAACCUUCUUUUGAAAGAGCAUAAGCAGCCGCUGCACCCAAACCAGAUGUAGCCUGCAGGCAAAAGGCAGAGAAAGCUCUCAGUAGGAUAAUCUAAUUGAGGACAUUUGCUACUAGCAAAAGAAAUCCGUCUUACGCCGGUGAUAAUGCAGAGAGGUCUCAGAGGAACUUCUAUGUUGGCAUUUCGAGGGUAUGAAACAAUUCGACCAAAAAGACCACGGCUGAAGAAUUGCCAGUAUGAGGCCAGCAAAGAGAACGUCCAAAGUACUGCCAUUAUCCAGAAGUCUACUGUACAAAUGAAACAAAAAGCCUCGACCAACUCCUUUGACAUUAUUCUCAUCUUUGCCACCAUGGACUUCUUACCUGUGUUGGCAAAGUGAAAACAACAAAACAAAUUCAGGAUACUAAUAAAUCCAACAGAAAAGUAUAUGCGCACGGUAAAGUCCUAAAGUUUAUUGGAUUAGGUAGUGGAACUCGAAUUUAAAUCAAGUGAAUGUCACAAUUAAGUACUGGAGAGACCCAAUCUACGGAGAAAACACGCACCCUUACAUGACCAGUGCAGCAAAAUGAGUGCCUUGUUAUUUGACAGUCAGAGUUGAGACCUCAGUGUUCAGUCUACAGGAAAAGUUUUAGCAACCUCGAGAGAGGUAAGAACUAGGCAGAUCUCACUAUGCAACCAUAAAUCAACUAACUUCAGGUGUACUUUCAAACAAAUUCUUUGACCAAGCAUCUGAGGGAAAUCAACAAUACAGAGUUCAACAUUCUAGUUCGUAAAUACUUUGGCCUUUUCAUUGUCAUGUAUGAAUGACGGUUUCCCUAUUGUUUAGAAUGUACAGCUUUGAAGUGUCUUAAUGCCACCUUGUCUUCCCACCACAGCAAACACAGACCCAGGUAAAGGAAUCAAAUGUUAAAUCCAGUCUUAAUAAAUUUACACAUCACAACACACAACCCAGUGAGCUUACUUCAUCGGUUAGAGUCACCAUGCUCACCCAGAGUAACAAGCACACCAUCAAAAGUAAGAUUAACAGAGAUAGCAAAUGAUAUAGCUUGUUUCAAAAUGAAAUUCUGUUCAUUUCCAAGCUCCAGACUUUCCACAUCAAAGCUUGACGUCUACUCACCCUAAACAGACGCAGCUAUAAAAUUAUCAUCUACCAGCAGAACUCGUGAAAUUCCACACAAUUCAAACGGGCCUACACGCACGUCACCGACCUAGACACGUUCCCUAUUAAACAUUAAACAAUCACCACCCCAAAUCAUCUCCAAGCUCAACGUCCUCACCAUGCAACAGCUCCAGAGCUCCAAAAAGACCCAACAAGUUUUUCGCCAACCUUCACGUCAACUCAAGCUCCCCCGCUCACUUCCUCCCUGACAAUACACACCCCCCACGAAGCGCGCUCUAAGAAGCAUUACGUCAAACACAUUGGGGACAUCGAAACUCCGGGCAGAGUUCUCCCACGAACCCAACGCAAAUGGGCAUCCACGAAAACAGGAACUUGCAGAGAGGCGAACGCGGGCGCUCGUGCAGAUCACUGUAAAGCUAUUGCAACGAAACGUGAAGGGUUGCGCCGGAAACGAAAGGGCGACUCACGGGGAACGUGAAAGGGUCGAAGGAACGAAGGAAGGCGAGAGCAGAGACGGGUCGCCUCGACUCGACACGGUUCUCGUCGAAACCAGGAGAGUCUUGAGAUUGACUGGAGGAAAAAUCCGAGCUUUACAAAAAGUUAGAUGCAGGAUGAGACGAACAUCCGGUUCUUCAACCCGAGUAAAAGCGUUGACACUAAGGGCAAACUUUUCCUUGCAUAUUAGGGAGAAUUAAGUGGGAAAUUUUCGUUUAUCGAAUUCGCCAACAUGUUUUCCAAAAAAAAAAAAAAGGAAAAAAAGAAAUCACUAACGUAAUUUCAUUCACUAUCACCCCUUUUGAAAAAUCAAAUCCAUGCAUGGGACCGAUUAAAUUUCAUUCGUCAAUCAGUACUCUUUUGUAUGAGAACUUGAAGAAAGAAUGACUCGCAAAAUACAUAAAAAAAAAUGGAACAUCACAAGAUAUGCAAAAAUUACUGUAAAAGAAUCAUAGAUUACAUGUUCUAACAAAAAGGAAUCAUUUAUUGCAUUUGUGUGAUGUAAACUAUACUGGAAUUAUUUCUUGUAAAUCUUGAGAGUGGUAGUAAUUGUGUCAACAUUUGGAAUCCUAUUAGGGAUAAAUAUAUUGAAAAUAUUAAAAUUUGUCACGAAGUUACAAUUUAACCCUAAAAUUUGACCAAAAAAAAAAUUCCAAUCAAAUUCUAAAAUUUGUUACAAAGUGUAAUUGAAUUUUUAAAACUUUUAAAAAGUACAUUCAAGUUCUAAAUUUUAUUAACAUUUUUCGUUUGUCAAAUUUGAUGGAGUUUAGGAAAAUACUUGAUUAUAUUAACUUGUCAAGUUGGCUUGGGCCAAGUUUGGCAUACCUAUAGUCCGUCGGAUCCAUGUUAAGGUCUACUAGCUUUGACCCUCCCUAGCUUUUGGGCUGGAUUGGGUCGCUGCGCCCAGCCCUUGCAGGAUCUCUCUCUCUCUCUCUCUCAACUUUCCCUAUGUGUUUUUUGGUUACUUUAACAUUUUUAUUUGUCUUUUGAAUUAAUGAUCUCACGUGGCAUGGUUCAAAUUACUGGGGUGUCAGAACCAAAACCAAAACUAAAAUCUAACCGAAAUUUCAUGCAUUUUUUAUUUGAUUUGGUUUUGGUUAGGAUAAUAGAAAGAUAACGGUUAUUUGUUUUCGAUUUGGUGAAUCGAACUGAAAUCCUUAAUACAAAUAAAUGCACAACUUAAAAUCCCUCCUUUUUCUCAUCUCUUAUUCUAUUUGAUUCCAAUGAGAAGGUAAAAAUCAAAAAACCAAAAACUGAAAACUGAAUUGAAAAUAAUCCAAUCGGAUUUUUAGUUCAGUUUGUAUUUGAUUCAGAUCGCAACUUGGUUUGCUUUAAUUACUUAUCUUAUCAGUUCGGUUUGGUUCGGACUUUAGGACAUUCGAACUAAAUCGAAACGUUGACGCCCCAUUAGCCACAUAGAUGAAGUCAUGUCUAUAAUUCAACAACGUUAAUUAUGAUGGUUGACGACAGAGUCAGCAAGAUGCAAAAGAUAUAGAAAUACAUCAAAAGAAGGAAAAAAUAGUUAGAGGACCCAAUCGCAGGAACAUCAGUACUAUAUCGAGAACAAAAAAUUGCUAUGAACUAAAUCAUACAUUAAAAGUAGGAAACAAGGAGAACUAACACGACCGUUAAUAGCAGCAUUGACAUCUAUGUCCAUGGAGAAUUUUUCUUACGCAACUACCACAGGUGGAUCCCAGCUAAUUUGCUGUCUAUCUAAUCCCGGGUGAAAACGGUCGGGCCUUGGUUCGGAGCCGUCGAGGACACACGACCAUCCUCAACGCUCCAAGCUCGUCCUCCUCCGGCGCAGUGGCUCGGCCUCAUAUCCUCUAAGCUUCACGGCUUUGUAAGUCACGGCGCCAGCUAUGGCUCCGAGCGGAGGAGCCACCAUGUACAUCCACAAUCCUUUGUAGUUCCCUGCGGCCACGGCCGGGCCGAGAGUCCUCACGGGGUUCAGGGAACCUCCGGUCGGCAUCCUGCAUUUCCCGGGAACAUUGUUAAGGAACAUUAUGAAAGCUAAAAUUCUGUAACAACGCGUCCAUACUUGCACGCCCGAAGGUGAGUAGUUUCAGUACAAUGCUUACCCUGUCACAAGAACGCCAAGCAGCACCGUUGCUCCGAUUGCAAUACCUGCCAAAUCUCCUACCUAUCAUCAGAAAAAAGGAACAAAUGUAAGUGAAAUGGAUACAUGCUGUAUACAGAUGCCACGAGUACAGAUAGAGGAAGAGUCGAUAUGCAGCAUGGCGACGUACUGCACGAGUGUCGGUCACCACCGCGACGAUCACGAACGCGAGAAUGAAAGUGGCGAGAAACUCGAGAGCAAACGCCUGUCCGAUGUCCACCGAAGGCACCGUGACGCCGCCGUUGGCAAAGGGAUGGAAAACGCCCUUGAGGACGUAGGAAGCACACAUCGAGCCCGCAACCUGCGCCGCGAUGUAGCCAGGCACCUGGAUCCAUGGAAAGUGCCAGAUCACCGCGAGGGCGACUGUCACCGACGGGUUCAGGUGGGCUCCUGAAAUGUGACCGAUCGAGAAAACUAUGAUCAUCACGGCGAGCCCAGCGCAUGCCGCGUUCCCAAGCAACGUCUCUGCUCCGUUGUACUUUUGGUUCACAAUGGGCCCGCCCACCGCGCAAAGUACUAAGAAGAAGGUUCCAACGAACUCUGCUCCGACCUGCAUCGUUCAUGUAAAUCUAAAUAAGAAAAUCUAUCCUAUCUUUCUUUCUUGGUUUCACUCGCUAUGAAAAGGCAUAAGAAUUAUCAGUUUAUGCUGCAACAGCUAGCGAGCCUGUCUAAUCUUUACUGAUCUUUGAGGUCGAUUGGGCUUUACCUUCCGCAACGAAUCAUACUUAUCCGGCUGGAGACGCCGAACACCUUCCGUUGCACCGUCACUCGGCGCACACCACUUGCACUGUACCACGGACCCGUCCUCCGGCAACGAUGAGUCCACUUGCAACGUCACAGAUGCCGGUUGGCACAUCUUCUCUUGCCUGGACAGCUCGAUGGAGAUUAAGGGAGACCAGAGGUCGCGAAUAAAGGAUCAAGAGAUCGAUGAGAAGAGAGAUCAAGACGAGAGGGAGCCUUCAGUCUGUUGCCUCCGUCUAUGAUAGUUGAUUGCAGCGACCCCAAAAGCAUUUUAUAGGAGAGAAGACAACGGCUUUAACAUCGCCAACAUCAUCUUCUUGUUCACUAGUUCGGCUUGUUGACUCGCUCCAUAGGAUUCGGUCAUUCAUAGUAGUUCGGACUGUCUGCACCUUGACUAGAUCUAGGGUUACUCUAUACAAGUAAUGAUUUGACUCGGUUUGGCAUGCUCAGAAAAACUUGGAGGGCACGUUUCUAUUUCUGAAAUUUAGGUGUGCAAGUCUACAUUUGUGGACCAGAUAUUGAAUAUUUAAGACCGAUUCUAUAAAGAGAAGAUCCAUCAAAACGUAUUUUCUUUUUUUUGUUUGGGGGGGAAGAGUUAAGGGCUGCGUUUGUUUUGAUUUCUUUUUUCUGUUUUUAAACAAUUUUUUUUGUUUUUUUGUUCCUGGGAACAAAAAAGGAACAGAAACGCGUUUGUUUGCAUUUUUAUUCCAAAAUUAUUUUUUUGUUCCCAGAAACACAUCUGGAACAAAAACAAGAAACAAAAAAAAAAGUUGUUUCUUGUUUCUGGAACAAAAUUUAGGAACACUUUCUUCUUCUCUCUUUUUUCUUCUUCUUUUCUUCUUCUUUUUUCUUUCUUUUUUCUUUGGCCGGUCGCCGGCCUCAACAAUUGAACCUUCUCAAACUGUUUCUUCUUAAGAACCAAAAAUAUUUGUGCCAAAAUAACAGAUGCCAAGAAGAACAAAAGGCCUUGGACACGGAAUGGAUCUUGAAGUACUAUUUCCGCAUCUCCUUGACCAAAUCCACCCACAUUAGGAUUACUCGUUAAUGGCUGAUCAAGUUUGAUAGAUUCGCCUUCGGAAACAAGAAGUUCUGGCCCUGGUGGAAUAAUAUCAACCACUUGACGUUCAUCUGACGCAUCCGAUAUGGUUAUUUCGUACCCCCCUUUUUCUUUUCGUAUGAUUUUACUUACUACACCAGCCGCUGUAGCAUUAUAAACUGUAUUGUUACUCUUGCUCCCAUCGGGAUAAAUCUGACCCAUUCCUCUGUUCCCGCCUACAUAUAUGGGAUAUUUUAAGAAGUGAACAUCUUUAUUAGUAGCGGGGUCCGGGGAAAGAAUAGGAAAGGUGACUUCACUAUAUUUCUGACCAGAAACAGGACCUAUCACAAGAAUAUUUUUUUUAUUGGGGCGAUAGCUCUGAAAAGACAGAUUGCCUAUCUUUUCUUUCAUCUCGGGCGAAAUACGAUCGGGAGGUGCUAAUUCAAAUCCCUCAGGUAAAAUAAGAACAGCCCCCACAUUCAAACCUCCCAUUUUACCAUUAGCAAGAACUUGUUUAACUUGCAUAUCAUAAGGAAUUCGAACAACUGCUUCAAAUACAGUAUCAGGAAGUACCGCUUGCGGAACCUCAAUAUCCACGGGCUUAUUAGCUAAAUGGCAAUUGGCACAUACAAUACGUCCGGUCGCUUCUCGUGGAUUUUCAUAACCCUGUUGUGCAAAAAUGGGAUAUGCAUUUGAAAUGGAUGUCCGAGCUAUGAUAUAUAUCAUCAGCGAUACGGAAAUAGAUCGAAUAAUCUCUUUCUUUAUCCAAGAAAAGGUGUUUUUAGUUUGCAUGGUCCAAUCAUUGAUCCCGAAAAUUUCUACAAUAAAAUUAGGUAGGUCGCUUGUAUAGUUCCCUAUCCACAAUUCUGCUAUUUACUUUAUUGAAAUCAUUUUACUGGAAUAUAAGGAGUAGGAGAAAUCCCUGUAGGGUAGAAAGAGUAAGUACGUCUUAAAAUGGAAAUGCUUUGCUUAUGUACCUUAUGUUACAAAGUAACAAAUAUUCUAGUUAGAUCAGUCAUUCAUUGAAUGAUAAAUCACUACAAGUGAUGGAGAUAUACGAUUUAAAUAGCGGAAGAUCCAAUAUUUAAAAAUUGUAUCCAGAAUGACUGGAAAAGUAGAAACAAGACCCGAUAUAAUUUGAUCGUUGUGAGCAAAUCCAAAAUCUUUGUAGACAUAGCCAAUCAUUAGUUCCCAACCAUGGGGCGAAUGGAAUCCGAUACAUAAAUCAGUUAAUAAAAGAAUAGAAAAAGCUUUUAUUGUGUCACUUAAGUUAUAUAGGAAUUCUUGAACCCAAGAGUUAAGAAUAGCAAGUUCUUCAUUACCCAGAAUAGAAUAACCACUUAAAAUAAUGAAAGAGGUUAUAUUUGUCGAUAAGUGAAAAAUCAUAUGGAUAUGAUCCUCAUUGUGCAUCUUGAUCAAUUGGAUCGUUUCUUUGUGGAUUCCUAUACGAAGUGUUUGUAGAUGUGUUUCCGGGUAUUCUUUUAUCAUUUCGUCCAAGAGUAAGAGUUCUUCCAAUUCGAUGAAUUUUUCUAGAAUACUCUUUUCUUGAAUAUCAGUCAAAAAAGUUUCGGAUUGCCUAGUAUUCCACCAAUUAGUAAUCCAAAAUUCAAGACUUUUAUUAAAUGAGAGAGAGAUCCACCAGGGCAAAAAUACUAUAGAUGUAAGAUAUAGAAGAGGAAGAAAUGCUUUCUUUUUUACCAUUUUUUCAUCUUUGAAUUGUUAAUGAAUCCACCUCAUUUGUUGAAUCUAUGUGAUCUACUAUUUCUAUUAACCCUAAGUUCUAUUACAGGGCAUCGGGCCUCGGCCAUGGCCGGCGACCGGCAGUCGAGGGCCGGUGAGGCCGAGCGUCGCCGGCCCUUGGUGAGGCCGACCUCGCGCCGAGCUAGGCGAGCUCGGCCUCGCCGGGCCACUGCCAGGUCGGCAUCGCCUGGCAGUGGCCCGGCGACGCCGAGCCUCGCCAGCCACUGAUUGUCACUUGCUUUUAGUCAUGCAUUCAAAACUGUAAGAUUCAUGCACUAUAAGAUAACCAGACAAGCGAAAAAAUGAUGUGCAUUUCAGUUGAGGUGGCAAGACCAAUUAGAUUGAAUUCAAACCAAAUAAAGCUUGACGCAUAAAAGAGAAAUGUUGUGCAUUGAGCGAAUAUAUGACAAAAUAAGUGCAAAGAGAGUCAUUGAUGUUCUAGCACUUUGGCCAAUUGAGUUCUUAAAAUUUUACUUUGCUUAAUUGAAUCCUUAGCAUUUUCAAUUUUAAUCAAUUGAGUCCCUCAAGCUUGAUCCUCGGAAAUAGCCACAUGGCUAUGAUUUUCCAAGUUGAUAAGAAGAUGCUCGACAAUAAAACCAGGUGAGCCUCUCAAGGGCUUCAUUGGCAUAAUCAUCAGUAUCACUUCGAUUUUUGGGUAUACGUGCUACACCGCACAGAGGUCUAUCAUUUCUUGGAUAUACUUCAUACCUCCCGUAGUGCUACCCGAAACGGUUUUCAUACCUGCAAAAAGUUCAUUGUGAGCAACUUACUUUCUUCACCUAUCAGGUAUCAAUAUUUCAUUCAGUAAUGAGCUUUGAGAACAAAAACAUACCGAGGUUAAGGCUUGCUGCAUUGAAUUUAAUUUCGCUUUGGGACCCAACCGAUGCUAGAACGCCACCCGUCUUCAAAAGAGACAUGUAAGGAUCAAAUGGGUGAUCAGCAGAUACCGUGUCAAUUAUAAAGUCCAGGGACUUAGCCAUGGCUUGCAUGUUACGAUUCAUCAGAUCACGGCAGCACUUGACAUCCAUGGAUCUAAAGUAUUAAUAAUUCAAAAUCUUCCCGUUUACCUUCAUAUGUUCUUGGUCAGAUGAGAUAACGAAAUGGUCAGCACCAAGCAAGCUCAGUGCUUCCUCCUUUUUAGAAAUGCUUGUACUGAACACGGCAACUUUCAGUCCAAAAGCCUUCCCAAGCUUAAUUGCCAUCUGACCGAGCCCACCAAGUCCAAUUACGUCGAAAGACUUACCCGGUUGGUUCAUCUUGUGACGCACCAUUUGAAUGUAUACUGUGAUUCCAUCACAGGGCAAUGGUGCUGCUAAAGCCAACGGGUAGUUUUCUGGAAUCCUAAGGCAAUACCUGUCAAUGAAGCACCACAAUUAAGUUUCCAAAUCAUGUAAUUUUUCUAUUCCCCUCGAUCAUGUCUCUAAGGGACACGAUAUUCCUGUGACUGUUGGAUACAAGAAUCCGUGAAAGCAUAUACAUUUCAUUACCCAUUUGAUCUAACACUUACUAUCUAACUCUUGGGAACAAUCUAAAAAAAGGGAGGAAGCGGAGACAAAAGGCAAGGAUUGAGCAAUUUCCAUCUCUCUCUCUCUCUCUCUCUCUCUCUCUUUUAAUUAAGGGUUAAUAUCCUAAAAAAUCCCAAAUUGGUACACAUGUAACAAAUUUACCUUGACAGACUAUAAAAAACUCUAAACUUAUAUAUUUAUGACAAAUUUACCCCAAACUAAUUUAUUUGACCGCAAAAAAUCUCAAAAUGGUAAAUUUGUAACAAAUAUACCCUUCACUAAAUUGGAUUAAUACCACAAAAAGAUCACAAAAAUUGUAAACCGUGACAAACGGAGCAUGAAAUCUCAAAUUGGUAUUACUAAUCAACUGUCACGUGCCAUUUAACUUAAUAAUUUGACAGUAAAAUUUAAUGAAAACUAAUAGAGGGUAAAUUUGUCACAAGUGUACUAGUUUAGAGUAUAUUUGUCAAAAGUAUACCAGUUUGGAGUUUUUAGUGGUCAAAAAACUAGUUUAGAGUAAAUUUAUCAUAGGUGUACCAGUUUUGAGUUUUUUAGGGUAUUAACCCUUUAAUUAAUUUAGUUUUAAAUUUAAUGUUAUUAAUGUUUCAUGAAAAUUCAUAUGUUAGAUUUAUUGGCUCACAUGUCAUUGUCACUUGAUGUGUAUGAUAUAUAGAAUAGUCCAAGAGUUUUGACUUUAGAUGCUUGGGAACUCGCGAAUGGUCAUACAUUGUCGGUUACACAUUCAAUAUGAUGUAUUAGCUAAUCAUAGUCCUCUAACGGUUUAUAUUUGCUUAAUAUAUUUCAAGAAUAUUCAUUUGUUAGACUUGUCCGCUCACACGCCACUGUCACUCGAUGUAUAUGAUAUGCAGAAUAGUCUAAGAGCUUUGACUUUAGACACUUGGGAGUGUCUAUGCUUGUUUUAUGUCUGUUAUGCUUGCAAUGCUUCUGGUUUUGAGUGGACAGUACAAAUAUUUAAGUCCAUGUCAAUUUGAACAAUUUUCUUUAUUAUAGAGCAACCGUCUUUAAUCUAUUGUGUUCUUGACCACAAAAAACCAAAUAACAAAUAAGUAUUAAUUAUUGUAGGGUCCAACAACAAUCUUUAAUCUAUUGUGUUCUUGACCACAAAAAACCAAUUAACAAAUAAGUAUAAAUUAUUGUAGGGUCCAACAGCAAUCUUUAAUCUAUUGUAUUCUUGACAACAAAAAACUAAAUAAUAAAUAAGUAUACAUUAUUAUAUGGCCCACUCCUUUAAAAAUUUGUUGCUCACAACAACUUAUUUAUUCUCAUAAUAACCCAAAGUUAUGCUAGCAAAGCUCUUUUGAGUAAGUGUAUUGAAAGUUUUAAAAACUUGUCACUAAAGUGCAUUAAGUCCUGAAACUUUCAAAAAAUACAAUUUAAUCCUAAAAUUUGUCACGAAAUGCAAUUGAGUCUUAAAAUUUUCAAAAAGUAAAAUCAAUUAUAAAGAUUUAUCAAUAUUAUAAGGGACAAAACCAAAAGCUGCAUGCAAUAAAUCAGACAAAAUUCAUUAAUUUAUGACCAUCAAGCAAGCGUCAGACAUUAGCAAAUGAAUGUAUUAGCAAUCGAAAAUACAUCGAAAACAAAAAGUUAAAAGCUCAUAUCUACCUUUCAUUCUUAUGCUUUGUAAGCCCCUCUGACCUUAGUGACCGCAAGGAUUUUACUGUGGACUCAAUGAGAUCCAUCUCAAGCUCCACCCUUUCAUGUGUCCAGCACUGAAGCAAAAGGAAAAUCGCAAUAAUGCGAUGAGGAUGAAACUAACCCAUUGAAUUUCUGAGUAAUCCAUCAAGUACAAGUUACCCAUCAUUCGGCCACUAAGCUCCUCCACUAUGGCCCUCAAUUGCUGGAUGCUUACUACGAGCGCUUCAUCCCUUCGUAUGAAGUCAACAUUUCUUUGAUUCACACUUUCUUUGCAUGACAUAUUUUAAACCUACAAGUAAACGUUAGUCACAAAAAUCCUCACCAAUUGCUCCCUCACGUGUUUCUCUCAAUGUGUUUGUCACUCCCCUCGUGUUUAACUCAAAUUUAGGCUUUUUCCCUCUCGUAUUCUCUUUUCACAAGUUCUUUAUUGGACUCAAAAUCAGUCUCUCAGCCCCCUCACGACAAUCAAUCAAAAUAAUCAAACAAGAUUAGAUUACUAUUAAUUUUGUUUCAGCAAGUAACAAUUUCAAACCAACAAGUAUAACUUUCGAAAUUCUAAUUGAAACGCAAAUCACUACUGAUUUUGUUUCAAUUCGGUCCACAGUCGCCUUCUUGAUUUUUUUUUGUUCAGCUUUUUUUUUCUGCUGAAUCUUUUUUUUUUCUCUAGCGCACUUUUUUUUUGUGUGCGUUUUCUUUCUCUUCUUUUUUUUUUUUUACGAACUUUCUUUGUUUUUUUUUCUUUCUUUUUUGACAAACUCAGAUACAAUUUAAGAUGAUAGGAAAAAAAAUAUUAAAACUAACAGCAAACAAUUACGUAUGGAAGCACAAAAGUAAUCAGAUCCCUAAAUUGGCUAGAACCGAAACCCUAACUCAAUAAAUCUCAAAUUGCUGAAUAUAAACAGAAAAUUAAAGAUAAAUAGACAUUGUAGAAGUAAGCUCUGAUACCAAAUGAUGUCAAUCGUUGUGGAAAAAUCAUUCUACGAAGGCCUGGAUGGUGCGAAUUGCAAACCUCGACCUCCAAUCAAACCUGUGAUUGAUAACCUCGAUAUGAACGUGAUCAAACCUACGAUUGAGAACCUCGGUAUGAACGUGACCUAUUGACAAACGCAUGUCAACCAACCAAACCCACGAGCGAAAGAAUAAGGUUAAGUUCUCAAAAAAUAGUAGAAAAGAAUCUCUCAACUUUUUUCAUCCAUAUAUAUAUAUAUAUAUAUAUAUAUAUAUAUAUAUUGACUUGGUCAAAUAUUUGAUGAUCAGAUAAUCAAAUUGUGCAAAGAUUUCUAAGAUUCUUCAAGAUUUAAUCCAAAGCCAUCUCUACGCCGAAGAUCAUGAACCAUGACGCUAACAGCUUACUUGAAUUGCUUGGCUCGUGCUCGAGUAAUUGAACCAGUAGGAAUAGACAAUGGGUCUCUAGCACCACCUCAUCGAUAUGGCUUGAUGUCCACAUCAUAAUGCAUGCGAAGGAACAAGCCGAUUGCCACUUGAUGUUAGUCAUUCAUGCAAAACUGUAAGAUUCAUACGCUAUAAUAUAGCCAAACAAGCAACCAAAAAAAAAAAAUAAAAAAUAAAAAACUAAAAAAAUGAUCUGCGUUGCACUUGAGGUGGCAAGGGCAAUUAGAUUGUAUUGAAACUAAAUGAAGUCCGUUGCAUUAAAAAGACAAUCAAAUGAUGCAUUGAUCAAACCUUCUCUUCCUUCUUCUUUUUCCUCUCCAGGUCUUCCACGCCUUCCGACUUGUUAUCCGGUUGAGACUGCACGACCCACAUCGACUCAUCAAUCUGAUCAUUACAAUCAUAGACUUGCCAUUUCCACAGCUAACCCAAUAACUCAAGCUACAAUCAGACGAGCUUCCACCCAAGAAAACAUACCAUUUCGAUGGUUGGUAAGCGUGAGACUGCAACCAAAGUUCGAUUCCGACAAGAGAAAGCACCGGGACAGAUGGUUGAGCUCCGUUUAGAAGUAGACCCAACAGCCGCCGGCGAACAAGGGUGGCGACCGUGACUUCAAAGAGACGACUUGACGGCGACCGAGCUCGGCGGAGGCGAGGGCGGCGGGACUUGUCAGCAGGGAUUUUUCUGACAGUGUCAGACUGGCACGACUCUGACGUUUUUUUAAUUAACUAAAGAAAGAAAUUCGUAAUACGACGUGGGCAGCCCGCAGGAGGGCGAAAUAAGAGUUUCCUGUUCUUAUUUUAUUUUAUUUUUAGCCUUUUCUGCUUAUUAGCAAAUAAAAUUUAUUAAUUUGACACGAACAUAUAGUGGUGUAUUUCCUACUAGUAAUAUAAAUUUAUAGAUUUUAAGGGAAGACUUGGAUCGUAAUUGUCAUUGGAGAGGAAGUGAAUGAUGAUAUAACAUGAGUUAAUAGACGUAAGUGAAAAAUGUCACAAAAGAAAUCGUGUUCCGAUAUUAAUUUUGUCAAUAUAUUGAAAAGGCAACAGGUUUCGUAUUCUUCUGGACAGAAAUGAAAGGUCAAAGGGAAACGAGAAGGACUGAGCAAAUAAAUGACAAAAUAUGAGCAAUGGAAGUCAUUGAUCGUUUGCCGUUUGACUGAUUGGAUUCUAAAUAUUUUAUUUUCAAUUGGGGUCUAAAUAUUUAUUUGGUCCAAUUGACUUCUAAACAUUUCCAAUUUUAGUCAAUCACGUCCCUCGAAUAUUAUUGUCGGAAAGAGCCACAUGGCUGUGAUUUUCCAAGUGGCCAAGGAGAUGCUUGAGGAGAAAACCUGUAGGAGAGGCGAAGCCAUUCAAGCAGAACUCUCAAGAAGCCAAUUUUUCAGACAGUUUCUCAAUCAUCACAUAGAAAAGUACCAGGAUUUCAUUACCCAUUUCACUUAUUUCUGCUAUAAAACUUACGGGUAUCGAAGUAUAUCAGGCAUAGUUUAUUUGUACUCCAGCAGAGAUAGUAAAAAGGCACAGAUGAUGCUCUCCUCUAGCUGAAACUCCCACUUUUCCUCUCUGUGUGAUCAGCUUUGCCAGCAACAAUUUCCAACUUCCCAAAUUGAUGUUCAAAUUUAAUCAAAUAGACUCAGAGAAGAAAACACACGAGAAUUGUUGCUAUAACUCUUGUUACUUUAUUCAUCAAAACAUCCAAAUCACUUAGCAAGAAAAUAGCUAUAGAACAACAACAACAACAAAGACCCACUGACAUACCCCACCGACCAAACAUGUGGAGAAACUAACUCCUACAAAAAAGCCACUUCCUAUUGACUAGGACUCCACUAUUACAUUAUUGAAGACACGUAAAAACUGUAAGUUAACUACUUCAACAAUUGAUGGUGUCACUUCAAGGAGUUCUCAAUGUCGAUCACGAAUCGAUACUUAACAUCUCUCUUGAUGAGCCUCUCCAGAGCUUCAUUGGCAUAAUCAAUCGGUAUCACUUCAAUAUUUGGGUAUAUCUUCUGCGCUGCACAUAGGUCUAUCAUUUCUUGGGUAUCCUUUGUUCCUCCCGUUAGGCUACCUGAAACAGUUCUCAUAUCUGCCAAACGUUCACCACGAGCAACUUAGUUCACCUAUCAGGUAUGAAAUUUCAUUUAGUAAUCAGAUUUGAGAACAAAAACAUACGGUGGUUAAGGCUGGCUGGACUAAAUUUAACUUCGCUCGAGCCGACCAAUGCUAGAAUGCCACCCGUCUUCAAAACAGACAUGUAAGGAUCAAAUGGGUGAUUGCCGGCUGCCGUGUCGAUUAUAAAGUCUAGGGACUUAGCAAUGGCCUGCGUGCAUUGGAUUUAUCAGAUCACAACAGAAUUUGACCACCAUGGAUCUCAAUGUGGAUAAUUCUAGUUUUUCCUUUUUUUACCUUCAUCUGCUCUACGUCAGAUGAGAUAACGAAAUGGUCAGCCCCAAGCAGGCUCAGUGCUUCCUCCUUUUUAGAAAUGCUUGUACUGAACACUGUGACUUUUAGUCCAAAAGCCUUCCCAAACUUAACUGCCAUAUGACCGAGCCCGCCAAGUCCAAUUACACCUAGAGACUUACCGGGUUGGUUCAUCUUGUGACGUAUCAUUGGAGUGUACACCGUGAUUCCAGCACAGAGCAGUGGCGCUGCUAGAUCCAUCGGGUAGUUUUCUGGAAUCCUGAAGCAAUACCUGUCAAUGAAGCACCACAAUUAAGUUUCCAAAUAACACCAAGAGAGGAAGUGAUUUCCCAAUAGAAUCAGCAUCCUGUCUUUUUUGUCUAAAAGGAAUCAAAUCACAGAGCCAGAAAUCCUAUCUUCCGCAUGCUUGGGAAUGUUACUUGCUUAGACCACAAUUCAGCAUCAUGUUGUUUCCGUGAUCCUUGUUCUGACCACAAAUUGCUCAAGACAAACAUUUCUUGCUGUAGCAACGAAAAUAACUCGAUUAAAAUUAAGAAAAGACACUUGCUCUAAGAAAGGAAACUGGUGGCAUAUCACAUAUGCUUGACUGAACACGUAAUUUCUCUAUUUCUUUCAAUCAAUUCCUCCGAAGGACUCAAGAUUCCUGUGGCUCUAUCAGAUACAAGAAUUAGUGAAAGCACAUACAUUUAGCUACCCAUUUGAUCUUAUACUUAUGAUCUAACUUUAACAAUCUAAGGACAGCUUAUUCCAUUCUUGACAAUGGUUAUUGAAAAGAAAGAAUUUCUUUUUGCAUUUAAUAAAGCCAAUUCUCCAUUGAAUGGUCUGAAUGGUAAUUGGAUACAGAGGACUUAAAGACCCUCCAGAGCCGUUAUAGAAAGUAUCUUUAUCCUUUUCCACAAGAUGCAUUAUGCUACUUCUGGUCACAAUCAGAAUACGAAGAAAAUUAGCAGAGAAGAAGACAUGACAUGAAAUCUUUUUUUGGCCACCAUGAUUUGAAAUUCUUUCACAGUGCAAAAUGCUGCCUAAUAACAUUGUGUUAAUAAGCAAUUACCUUUCAUGGACGACAAUGUGACUAGAAUAUCCUCCCUUUGUCACUGUACCGUCCGUAUCGAUUCGGUCAAAAGUCAAAACCAUCUUUUCACAAUGGACUUCUAGCCCGUCAUUGCAAUACUCGCACUCUCUGCAUGAAUUGACAUAAGUUCCCACACCCACAUGAUCGCCAACUUUGAAGCGUUGGACACUGGAGCCAACCUGUUUCACAAUUCCAACUAUCUCGUGCCUGAAUCAAUCAAAAAAGUCAUUCGCAAAUUUUGUUCAGAGAAUUAUUAGGAUGGUGCUAAGAAAAAAGAUUAACAUUCGAAUCACGCUGCAUCCUACCCUGGCACCAGAGGAUACUUGGAGGUUCCCGACAUAUUCCUAGUCCAAGCCACAUCUGCAUAGCACACUCCGCAGUGCGUGAUCCUAAUCGAGACGUCAUCGCUUCCCACGGUCCUAAAGAGAGAAUUCCCAAACAGAUGAGCAUCUAAUCAAGCAACUAAUCAGACUCAGUUACCUUUUGUUCUCAUUUUUCAGAUCAAUAAACUAAGCGUGACUUACAAUAAUCAUACAUUCAACCCAAAAAAAAAUUUAAGAAAAGAGAAAUGAAAAGGAACCAAAUCCAUGACUAUAGGCAUUUGUCUGAAUAGUACAUACAACCUCAAAUGCUCACAAAGGCAGCACCCGAAUCCUAAUGUCUGCCAUGAAGUUCUAAGCAACUCAUUCUGGGACAUGACAUAUCAUGCGUACAAACAAUUCUCUACCCAGAAAUUAGUGCAUACACAACAAAAUUUAUAAAAGAAAAACGAAAUGGUUUGGUCAAUGUGGAAAUUUAAAUAUAUGACAAGCAUCAAAAACUGUUUUGCAUUACAGGUGAGAGGAUAAGACCUGAGAACACUGUAUUGAGACUUAUUCAGACAAAUACUUCAAUAGAAAUUGAAAGUAUAAGGAGCAGAUGAAUUAAAUAAAGAACAGUGGUAACAGUAAUACCUGCGGCUGAAUUUGUAGGGGGAGAGACGUCCAGAAGGAUCUCUGGCAGCCCAACCAAGACAAUCUUCCUUCGCACCCUCUGAACUCAUCGUUCCUCACCGACCUCAACUGAAAUCGACCCACAAAAAAAUUGCUGUGUUAAUCUCUCAAUAAGCUGAAUUAUGGAAGAAGAAGAAGAAUUAUUUUCGUGAAAGAGAAAUGAAGAGAAAAUCAAACCGGAAAACAGAAGUUCAAAUGGUCAAAAGGCCAAAUGUCACGAAGACUUGGCAAUUCCGUUUCCGUGCAGACAAGAUUUUGCGGUCUGACUUUUGAGCAAAGAGCGAGAUUAGCAGAGAGCGAGGUUGAGCGCUCAAAAACCGUCACCUCUUUAUAGAUGCCAUAGCGUCGCCUGUUCUUGAUUUUUUUUUUCGUUUUAUCUUGUGGAAAAGAAUUAGUGCCAAACGUAAGCCAUUACCCUUCACUAGCCAAUGAAGUAUGCAGUGACGUCUUCUGGAGUACGGUUCUUGGUAUUUUUAUUUAUCCUCCCAAUAACAAUUGCAUUAUUAAUUUAUUCACACAUUAAAUAUGUCAAUAGGCAACAUGUUGACGCAUAAAAUAUGUCAUGAUCCUCUAGUGGUAUGUAUUCGAUUCAUCUAUUUUAAGAAUAUUCACCUUCAUCUAUUUUAAGAAUAUUCACCUUCUUCAAAGAUAGUGUUAGUAUAUGCGGAAACAUGUGUUUGAUAUGUAUGCAAGCAAAAGAACUAAGGGACAAUGUGAGCAAGAAAUAGUGGGACAAAGUAAUAAUAGGAAUGUGUAAAAGAGAAUGAGGCUGAGGCGGUGAAGGAGAGAAACUUGAAUGGAAGUCAACAAUAGUGGCUGAAGAAGAAACUAGUAUGUGGACAGCAAGAGUACUUGGAGAAGAAGAAAAUGAGUUGUCAGCUGUACUAUGGCCUAUGGCGGUGAAAAAGUCAAAAAUGUCAUGCUUGAAGUCGGUUGUAAUUGCCUAUAAAUAGGCUUGUCGUUCAUUUAUUUGGUGUGUGUGAGGUGAACCCUUCACCUUGUGUGGGGGUGAACCCUCCACUGUGAGAGGUCUUAAACCUCCGCUAGGACCAUAUGGAGAGUGACUAUUCAACACCUCCAUCAAAUUAUUUUGUCUUCUUCAAUAAGUUCUUGACAGCUGGAGUUUGAUGAAGAAACUUUGCUUCAUGCUUUCCGCUACUUGCUAUUUCCGAUGCACGUAGACUUCUCUAGCCUAUUCUAGGAUUUCUUCUUCAACUUGGGGUUUGCUUGCUUGUAUUCCCAUGUGAAUCUUCUAGGUUCAGCUAGCAACCACCAUUCUCAACAAUUCUAGACAAUCUUCAACAUGGAUGUUGCUACCAACGUUCUCGCCUUCAUGAUUAAGUUAAUAGUUUCUAAACAGUUUUAGAGAAAAUGGAUCAUAAUUUUCAACAUAUAGUAUUUUGGAGAGAAAAGUAUUUCAGCAGAAUUGUUCAAGGAUUUACAGAUCACUACAAUAUCACCGGAAGCAAAUAAUUAUCCAUCAUUGACAUGAACGAUAUAGCAAAAAUUCUUUUACUUGUUUACCUUAAGUUUAGCAAGAUCUGCUUAAACGACAACCUUGAGUAUCUUCAAUUCCCUUUCUCUUGCCUUCAAAAAGAUAUUGAAAUGCAACGCAGAAUCAAGACAGAUUGUCAUUAACAAAGCUGUAAAAGCCUACUCAAUCUGGCAAAAUUGGGGACAGUGUUUUCCAGCGAUCUUGACUACCUCGGUAGCUGCUGUGCAAAUGGAUAGGAAUGCAUGCAGAGGGACAAGCUGAUUGUUACCUACUUUUAGUCAUUCAUUUGAAACUGUAAGAUUCAUGUGCCAUAAGAUAGCCAAACAAGCGGGCAAAAAAUGAUGUGCCUUGCACCGAAGGUGGCAAGAGCAAUUAGAUUAAAUUCAAACCAAAAAAAGCUUGAUGCAUAAAAUGAAAAGUCAUCCAUUGAGCAAAAAAGGGUGCGUUUGGUAAGGUUUCUGUUUAAAAAUUGUUUCUGGGAACAUAAAUAAAAAAAAGUGUUUCUGUUCCAAGGAACAAGUUUUGAACAAAAAAACGCAUUUGGUAAAUCUGUUCUAGAAAUAUAAAAAAAAUAGAAACACGUUUGGUAAGUUUGUAUAUUUUUUUUUAUUUCUUUUAAUUUUUAAUAUUUUUAUUUUUAUUUUCUAUUUUCUUUCUUAUUUUUCUUAUUUAUUUUUCCUUUUUUUCUUAUUUAUUUUUCCUUUUUCCUUUUUUCUUCUUUUGGCCGGUCGCCGGCCUCGGCCAUGGCCGACGACCAGCCGACAAGGGCCGGCGGCCUCACCCAGCCAUGGCGAGGCUCGCCGGCCGCUGGGCGAGCUCGGCCUCGCUAGAUCUGGGCGAGAUCGAGCUCGCCCAGCCAGGCGCGAGGUCGGCCUCGCCGCGCUGUGCCGACGGUGACCCAGAGCCACACCAUCGUCUCCCUCCACCGCAUCGGUGACCGCGCUCGACGCCUCCUCGCCGCCACCGGAUCGGCGACCACCCCUCCGCCUCACGCCCGAUUGACGCAUCUGCAGGUCUCGAGCCUUCGUUCACCACCGCCACAUCAGAUCUCACCACGCCGUGACCCACGGCUUCGAGAUCCGCUCGAUCGUCGACCCCGCGCCGGCCCACGACUCGACCGGCCGUCCUCGCCGCUCCGCUCCUAGACGUCCGCCGCUCGAGACCCCACGGCCGAGCCCCGCACCGCAGCCGCCGCCGCCGCCCAGCGACCCGCGACCCAGCUCCGUCACCCGCUCACAGGUGGAGAUGCUCGCAGCGGCUGUCGGCGCCGGAGAGGACGACGGUGGAGAAGCCGGAUGGUCUCGAGACAGAGGCGGCUGUCGGCGCCGGAGAAGACGACGGUGGAGACACUUGCAGAAGGAGAGGCUCGCAGGAGAACACGAUUUUGUUUCUUUUUUGUUCUUCAAAUAUGUUUCAGAAAUAAGAAAUAAGAAAUUCUUGUUUCUUAUUUUUGUUUGUUUCUUAUUUUUGUUCCCUUUUUGUUUCUAGGAACAAAAAAACAAAAAAGAAACAGAAAUGCACCCAAACGCGUUUCUGUUCCUUUUUUGUUCCCAGAAACAAAAAAAUAGAAAUUUUUGUUCGUGGGAACAGAAACACGGUGCAAACAAACGCGCCCUAAAUGACAAAGUAAGUGCAAUGAGAGUCAUUGAUGUUCACGCCAAACGUAUGCCAUGACCAUUCCUUAGCCGAGAGAAUGUAAGCAGCGACAUCUUCUAGAUAGUGGUUACUGGCAAUUUUUUUUUUUUUUAUCCCCGGCCUGAUCAAAUUAUCCGAGUUAUAAACUCAGAAAGAAGUUAAUGAGCAAUCUACCGCUAGGACCUAUGAAGGGUCAUAUGUUGUUGGUUACACAUCGUGUUGGAAUAUAAUAUACGGAAAUGAAAAGAUCUUGCAAUUUACGUCAACGUGCAAACUCCAGAAAAAUAAAUGAGAAAUAAUAAGAACACCAUAACUUUACGUGAUUCGGUCCGAGUAUUAGUACCUACAUUCACGGGAGAGUUAGCAACAAAUAACCCACUAUAAUAAAAAAAUCAGAGUUUACAAUCGCUCACAUGCUUGAGUAUUUUCUACACCUAGAUUUCAACUCAAGAGUUUAUAAAUAAACAACUCAUUUUAACAUAAAUUCACGACAUAAAAUUACCACUCGUUCAAAAACAAAAUGCUCUACGUACGCCAAAAACAAGAAUUCCAGCAUUUAUCUUUUGGUUCGCGUAGAUACGGAUUUGUGUUCUUCUUUGCUUGAUCGUGCGGCGCUAUUCUAGACGUUCCUUUUGGCUCUUUCUUCUUCGUAGGGCUUCAGUAACUUUUUCUAUAAAAAAAAAAAAGGACGUUCUAUUUUAUAUAUGUGCCUAGAGUCAACAACUUUGACUCUGGGCCCACCAUGUGCUUCUUUCUUCAGUGGGAAGUGGGACGCUGCAGGUAAGGCGAAGAAACCUUCCUUUUAUUCAUUUUUCUUCAUAUUUCCUUUAUUUUAUGGGAUAUGUUUGGCAGAAGUCCUAAAACUUGUCCAGAAAGUGCAAUUGAGUCCUAAAACUUACAAAAAGUUCAAUCAAGUCCUAAAACUUGUCAAAUUGGUUCAAUUGAGUCCUAAAGUUAACACCGUUAAGAAAAUUAACAGAAAUUGCUGACGUGGCGCUGACGUCAUAUUUUAAAUGAUCUUUUUUAUUUUUCAAAUAGCUUUUUUAAAUUAUUUUUAUUCAAAAUCUUUAAAAAUUAGAUUAAAAACUAAAAAGGAAAAUCUAAAUUUAUUAAAAAAACAAAAUUGUUCAAAAAAAAAAAAAGAAAAAAGGGCGGUGGACUUUCGCCGCUGCCCAUCGCCGAAGGGGCCGGCGAUCGUCGCCGGCCCUGGGCGGGGGCGAUGGUCGCCAUCCCUUGCCUGGGGCCGAGCAACCGUCGCCCGCCUUGGGCGAGGCCUCGUCGGCCCUCGCUUGGGGUCGGCGAGGCUCGCUAGAUCUGGGCGAGCCUCGCCCUCGCCAGCCACCCCUGCCCAGGGCCGACAACUGUCGCUCGGCCCCUUCGGCGAUGGGCGGCGGCGGCGGCGGCGGCGGCAGCGGCGGCGGGGAGAAGAGGGCUGCUUUUUUUUAAAACAAUUUUAAAAAUAACUUUUAUAACUUUUCUUUUUAAUUUUUAGAUAAAAUGAAUAAAUUUAAUUUUUUAGUUUUAAUUCUUUUUUUAAAAAUGAAUAAAAAUCAUUAAAAAAAUCCACGUGGAAAAUAAAAAAUAAUUAAAAAUGAUACGUCAGCAUUUUUAACAGAAAAAGCUAACGGUGUUAACUUUAGGACUUAAUUGAACUAACUUGACAAGUUUUAGGACUUGAUUGAACUUUUUGUAAUUUUAGGACUCAAUUGCACUUUUUGGACAAGUUUUAGGACUUCUGCUGAACAUAUCCCUUAUUUUAUAUAUGUUGUGUGCCUAAAGUCAAGACUUUUGACUUUGGGCCCACAUAAAUAACCUUGUUUGGCUCCCGUAGAUAAAGAAGAAACUUUGUUCUUUUUAUUAUUAUUAUAUUUUCUUUCCUCUUUCGUAAACCUUCACAAAGUCCAACAAAGCUUCUUCUAUUGAUCGAAACAAUCAAAGACCCAAAAAGAAUUUCGAAUUUAUUUUCUUGUGCAUAAUCUUGAAUAUUAUCUUUAUCAGAAAAAUAUCUUCACGAUCAAAUAAUAAAAUUUUUAUCCAAGCGGAUCGCAUUUUGCAAAUACUCAAACUCGAGACAUAAUUUAACACAUCCGACAUGAUAUACUGCCCAAUUACUAUCCUCUGACAAUUUAUAUUUGAUUAAUCUAAUUCAAGAAUAUUCAUUUGUUAGACUUGUUGGCUUACACGCCACUGUCACGUGAUAUAUCCUAUAUUGAGAAUACUCAAUGAGCUUUGACUCUAGAUACUUGGGAGCAUCUAUGCUUGUUUUAUGUAUGUUAUGCUUGUGAUGCAUCUUGUUUUGAGUGGACUGUAGAAAUAUUUAAGUUCGUGCCAAUUUGACUAAUUUUUUAUCUGGAUAAGUGCAUUGGAAGAUUUAAAACUUAUCAUAAAAAUACAAUUAAGCCAUGAAACUUUGAAAUCAAGUUCUAGAACUUGUCACAUUGGUCUAAUCUAAAUCCUACCAUUGCAUUUUUGAAAAUUUCGGUACUUAACUGCAAUUUUCUAACAAGUUUUAGUAUUUCCAAUAUACUUUUUUUUUUUCAACCUCAGUAAUGUUUUUAAGCAACAAUGAGCUUGACAUAUCUCUGUUUUCGGAAUUUCAGUGGCUAUAGGAAACAAAAGGACGUCCUCUAAUGAAUCAACAAUCUUCUGCCAUGACAAAGCUGGAAGAGAGAUGAGUGUCUUCCAUAGUUAUAAAAAAUGUUCAUGCAAUAAUCUGUAGGAAUUCGUCUUCCUGACGUGCAUGAACAUUUCCGGCCAUGAAACAUUUCACGGUGAAGACAUUCUGUCACUUAAACCGGCAAAAGGAUAUCGAGCUUGUUCUUUUGGCGAGUGUAUUGCCGUCAAAUAUGCCUGAUUAAUUCCACGACUAUUAGCAUUUGUUUAAAUAGAGCAUACAACCUAAAAUGCUCACAAAGGUAGCUGGUACUGGAUCCUCAUGUCUGCCCAUGAAAUUCUGAGUGCCUCAGACAUGGCAUAUCAGGCACACAAACAAUUCUCAACCCAGAAAUUAGUACGUACACAACAAAAGUUUAAAAAAAAAAAAAUUGGUUUGGUUAAUGUGGAAAUUUAACAUCAUGACAAGCAUAAAAAACUGUUCAGCAGUACAGUAGAGAGGUCAAGACCUGAGAACACUGUAUUGAGACUUAUUCAGAUGAACACUUCAGAUAGUCACUGAAAAGCUAAGGAGCAGAUGAAUUGAAUAAAGAACAAUGGCGAUGAUAAUACCUGCGGCUGAAUUUGUAGGGGGAGAGAAGUCCUAGAAACCGUCAUAGAUGCCAUAGCGAUGGAUGUUCACGAUUAAUCUUUGAGCUUACUAUUGUGGAAAAGUAUUAGUGAUUCGCCAAACGUAACCCAUGACCCUUCCUUAACCAAAGAACGCAUGCAAUGACAUCUUCUGGAGAGCGGCUCCUGGAAUUUUUCCAUCCACAACCUAAUUGCAUUAUCAACCUACUGACACAUAAAAGAUGUCAAUAGGCAAUGUGCUGUUGCACCACUGGACCCGCAAAUGGUCAUCAAUGUCGGUUAUACCGCCAAUAAUUUGUACCUGACCCUUCAUAGUCGUAUUAUUCGAUUAAUCUAUUUAAAGAACAUUCAUUUUCUUCAAACAUGCUUUCUCACGUGCCACUGUAAUAUGAUGUUUUUGAUACACAAAAUACUAUCUCUUCAAGAGCUUUGACUCCUAUAUACUUGGGACAUUAAAUUGUUUUAGCAACAAUGAGCUUGGGAUAUCUCUGUUUUCGGGAUUUCAGUUGCUAAGGGAAACAAAAAGGACGUCCUCUAAUGAAUCGACGGUAUUUUGCUAUAACAAACCUGGAAGAGAGAUGAGCGUCUUACAUAAUUACAAAAAAAUGAUCACGCAAUAGUUGGUAGAAAUUUACUCUGCUGACGUGCAUGAACAUUCUGAACAAAAAACGGAAAACAUGCAUGAACAUUUCCGGCCAGGAAGCAUUCACGAGGAGCUGAGAGACACUCUAUUUCUUAAAGCAGCAAAAUGAUUACGAGCUUGUUCUUUUGGUGAGUGGAAUGAAUAAAUUGUUCAAAAAAUCCUAAACUUAUUGUCCGACCACUAAUUUAAUUCUAAACGUUUUAAUUUGAUCAAUGUUGUCUAAAACUUUUGACAAUUUUUUGUAGUCCACCUAGUUAAAUUUAGGUCGAAAAUCAGUGAUGAAGCAAUUUAGUAAACACUAGCUGUUUUAAGUGAUACAACCGAUAGCUGAUAUAGAUGAUCUUAAAUGAUGUGGCGUCGUUUCACAAUUUUUUAAUAUUCUUUCUUUUUCUUUUUUAGUAAUUUUUUUUCCUAUUCUUUCGUUCUCUAGUGUUCAUUUUCUUCCCUCUGCCGGUGGCCGAUGCCUCAGCAAUGACCGGCGACCAUCAUAGGCUACAAGUGAGGGCAUUGAGCGAGACUUGCAAGCCUUCUCCUAGAUUUGGGCAAGGGCCCUAUAGGCCCUCAUUGGCCGUAGGCAAGGUUGGGGACUUGCAAGCCCUUGCCUAGAUCUACCCUCUAAUGGGGUCAAUGCCUGCCAUCACCAAAGCCUCAAUGUCUUGCUCUGGAAAGAAAAUGAACAGCAGAGAAGGAGACAAUAGGAAAAGAAAGAAAAAAGAAAAAGAGAGGAAAGGAAAAAGGGAAAAAAUCUGAAAAUAAUAACAAAAAAUUGCAAAAUGACGUUGUUUCAUUUAAGAUCAUCCAUGUCAAUUGCCAAUCAUGCAACGUGGCCUACCUUGUUGGAUGUAGUAGAUUUAGGAUAUUUUGAAUAUUUUUCUCCUAUUAAAUAUGCCCGGUUUAUUUGAUAUCCUAAAAUUUGUCAACUUUGUGAAAUCAAGUUCUAAAAUUUGUUGGCACUCUUUUCAUAUUGGAUGAAGUUAAUGAAAUGACUUGAUUACAACUACUUGGUAAGUUUUAUGACUUGAUUGUAAUUUUUGAAAAUUGUCGGACUCAAUUGCAUCUCUAUAAUAAGUUUUAAAACUUGAUUACGCUAUCUAAAAAUUUUAAGAUUUUCAAUAUACUUAUCCCUAAAAUAAAAUAAAAAGGGCCUACCCCCUUUACAUGAACUCUUUAAUUUAAACGCACCAUGGAAUUUCCUGUCCUUUUACACAAUUUCAUUAACUAAGAUUUUAUUUUAUUUUUUGGGUUAAAACCAAGAUUUAGUUCUUCUUCUUCUUUUUUUUCGGACCAGCCAAGAUUUAGUUCAAAGAUAGAUAUUUUGAGGAGAAAAAAAUUUCAGCAAACUAUGCAAGGAUUUGCAAAAGAUCGCAACAAUAUUACCGGAAGCAUAUAAUUAUUUAUCACUGACGAAUGAUAUAGUAAAAAUUCUUUUAGAAGUUUACCUUAAGUUUAGCAAGAUCUGCUUAUUCGGCAGCCUUGAGUUUCUUCGAUUCCUUCUCUCUUGCCUUCAAACAGAUAUAGAAAUGGCAACGCAGAAUAUCAAGAUAGAUUGCCAUUGACAAAGCUGUAAAAGCCUACUCAAUCGAGCAAAACUGGGACAGUUUUUCCAGCAAUCUUGACCACCUCCGUAGCAUGCCGUGGAAAUAGAUAGGAACACAUGUAGAGGGACAAGCUGAUUAUCACUUGCUUUUAGUCAAGCAUUCGAAACUUUGAGAUUCAUGCACUAUAAGAUAGCUAGACAAGCAAAAAAAAUGAUGGGCAUUUCAGUUGAGGUGUCAAGAGCAAUUAGAUUGAAUUCAAACCAAAUAAAGCUUGACGCAGAAAAGAGAAAUGUUGUGCAUUGAGCGAAUAUAUGACAAAAUAAGUGCAAAGAGAGUCAAUGAUGUUCUAGCGCUUUGGCCAAUUGAGUUCUUAAAAUUUUACUUUGCUUAAUUGAAUCCUCGGCCUUUUCAAUUUCAGUCAAUUGAGUCCCUCAACCUUGAUCCUCGGAAAUAGUCACAUGGCUAUGAUUUUCCAAGUUGAUAAGAAGAUGCUCGAGAAGAAAACCGGGUAGGAGGUGAAAUGGGACCUAAGUGCAAGUUUUACUAUUUCAGUAACUACAAUUGAUCUGACAGAAGGUUGAACUUUCAUGGAUCUGGCACUUCGUUUGAAGCUAUACAAACAGAAAUCAGCGGGCUCAAGAAGCCAAUCUUUUAGACAGUUUCUGAAUUAUCACACAGAAAAGCACUAGGAUAUCUUUACACAUUCACUUAUUAUAUCCUCUAUAAACUAACAGUUAUUAGAGUAUAUUAGGCAUCAUUUAUUUGUAGUACAUUAGGUACAGAUGUCCUCUCUCUGAAAUUCCCUCUUUUCCUCUUCUUACGAUUAGCUUUGCCAGAAGAUGUUUCCAACUUCCGACAUUGAUGAUGUCAUUUCAAGGAGUUCUCAAUGUUUAUCACAAAUCGGUACUUAACAUCUCUCUUGAUGAGCCCCUCAAGGGCUUCAUUGGCAUAAUCGAUCAGUAUCACUUCGAUUUCUUGGUGUAUGUGCUGUGGCGCACAGAGGUCUAUCAUUUCUUGGAUAUACUUCAUUCCUCCAGUAGCGCUACCCAAAACUGUUUUCAUACCUGCAAAAAGUUCAUUGUGAGCAACUUAGUUGGCUUGCCUAUCAGGUAUCAAUAUUUCAUUCGGUAAUGAGCUUUGAGAAUAAAAACAUACCAAGGUUAAGGGAGGAAGUACACUAAUGGUGCCAUAAGUUAUGUACGGCGCUCACUUUGGUGUCAAAAAUUUUUGUCGGAUCACUUAAGUGCCAAAAAUUUUGAAAAACGAUCACUUUGGUGCCAUCGUCGAUUUGGUUGGUCGGAAAUCUGACGUGACAAUUUUUUAUUAAUUUUUUAUGCCGACGUGGAUCGUCGGAUAAUACAAUCAACAAACAAAGAACAAAACGAUGCCGUUUACCAUUUUCCCCCAAAUAAAAACCCCUAAAUCCCUAAUUUCGACUAGAACUGGAAGUUGAAAACCCUAAAUCCCCAAUUCGACCAUUUCGAGUGCAUAUUUCGAUUUUCUGCCAAAGUUAUCAACUUGCUUUUGCAAAUGGAGGACAAAAGUUUCAACAGUGGCUCGCAUUCCUAUAAGAAAAGCGAAUUAGAUGGUGAGUGUUACUGUUAUUGUGGGUUACCGAGUCCGAGAAGAAUAUCUUGGACUUGGUUGAAUCCCGGGAGAAGAUUCCAUGGGUGCGGCAGAUAUAGAGAAAGCUCGAAGUGCCAUUAUUUCAAAUGGGUUGAUAGGAAAUUCUCUAAUCGAGCGACAUAUGUGAUAUUGGAGUUACUUGAAGGCCAAAAUCAACCUCCAUCUAUGUUAAUGGACGAGCUGGGGGAUGUCGACUCAAUACAAGCUCAAAUGAAGGGUUUAACAUCUCUGAUGGACCAUUUGAAGAGAGAGGUUUCAAGGCUGAAAAUUGAAAGAAACUUUAUCGAGCGUUGAUUGUAUUCUUAUUCUCUUGGGUAGUUUAUUCAAAUGUAAAGUGAGUAAUGAGAAGAAAUUUGUAUGUCUACCAUAGUCGAAGACGUGGAAUAUGCACUUGUAUUGGAUUAUUUAUAAGUAAAAUGUGUUUUUUGGUUUGUUGCAAUUUUUAUAUAGAGCAGAAUGUUUUAUUGUUGUAAUCUAUAGGUAGAAAUGUAAGGUUGGACUUGGAAUGCAUUAGUUGUGAGCACUUAAAAAGUUUUGUUGUUUAGUUGUGUAUUGUCAAUGUUUGUUUUUGUUAGUUUUUACUUCAAAUAUAAUGGUUUACUGCAUUUUUUAUUUGGUAAUAGUUUGCUGCAUUGAAAGCAAACGGUAAUGGUUUGCUGCAUUUUUUAUUUGGUAAUGAUUUGCUGCAUUGAAAGCUUUUGAUAAUGGUUUGCUGCAUUUUUUUUAUUUGGUAAUGGUUUGCUGCAUUUUUUAUUUGGUAAUGGUUUGCUAGUUUGCUGGUUUGCUUCAACUGUUAAACCAUGGCUGAAUGGCCGAAAUUAAAGAAUGGUGCCAAAUUCACGAUUGAUCAUUUCAGUGCCAUAAGUUGUAAAUAGUGAUCGCUUAAGUACCAAGUUUUUAUAGAAGUGAUCAUUUAAGUGCUAGUCGCAAUUACAAAGUGAUCACUUAUGUUGCACAAGUUUUUUAAAAAAUAACAUGUUAGUGCCAAACGUCACAUUCCAAAUGCACAGAGUUCUUGCACCAGUUGAGUUGCUGGUGCAUCUUCUUGCACCAACCCAUACAGAUGUCGAUGCAACAAGAUGUACCAGCACCCAAAGUGCUCUUGUAGCAGCACAUAUAAUCAGAACCCCACAAAUUCAUUAUAAUCCACAACUUUAACCAACAACAGCAACAUUGCAGCAACAACAACAUUGCAAUAACAACAAAAAUAAAAUAUAUAGCAUAACUAACUUGCUAGCAUUCUAGCUAAAACCAACACAAGAGAAAAUGAAAAGUCAUUCCAGUACUUGCCAUUAACAUUGCUUGAUUGUUUACAAAAUACAAAAUACAAAAAAAAAAAAAAAAAACAUGUCUAACUUCACUCCCUAAUCAUCAAAAGUUCAGCACUUUCCUAAAAAAAAACAAUGGCAAUAUGCAAGCAGCAACUACCAUUGAUGAUAUAAUAUCCAGCACACUCCUAAAAAAAGAAAACAUGGAAAGAGACCAUGUCUAGCAUCACAUAAAAAGAGACCAUGUCCAACACCCUCCCAUCAGUCAAUAUUGACAACACCCUGAUCUCUUUUUCUUAUUAGAGCUUUGAAUUGAUUCAUAAUCCGAGCACUCUUUCGAACUGGAUGUGCAGGUUCUUAACUGGGCUUUCUGUCACCUCAUUUUCCUUUUCCUUGUUUUUUACGGCAGCUAUUUUUGUUCUAGCACGUAUCAUGUGUUGGUCCAUAUCAUCACUACUGCUCCCAAUCGUUGGUUGAGAUGGAACUAGUGAUGGGUUCUUUUUGGAUGGCUGUUUCGCAGCUAUACCCACUGUCUUCUUCUUCUUCUUCUUUGGAGCACUCUUCUUUGGAUGCGCCCUUAAUUCUUGAGUUGGCCCACCUUGAGAGAGAAGUACCUCUGAAGUUCUCCCAGGCUACAAGAACAUAAUGAUAUUGUCAACCAAAUGAAUUGAAGUACAACAAAUUAAAUGCAUAAGGCCUAUAAAUUUUACAUUCAAAAUAGUCAUUCCAGUACGUUCAUCUGUGUAAAUCCCAUAACCAUAUUGCCUUAAUUUUUUUCCAAGAGCCCCUUUUGUUCGCUGUGAUGCAUCAUUUUCAGCAACAACAAUCUGAUAUUGCUAGUAUGAGUACCUAGAGGGGGGUGAAUAGGUAUAUAAAGAGUUUUUCUCAAGCAAUUGCACAAUACUAGACAGUUGGAUGAAACGAUAAUCAAAGUAAGACUGAGAGAAGAGAAAAUUUAAUACGCGGUUUAUAGUGGUUCGGCUUAUAUCAAGCCUACGUCCACUCUUCUUCACUGACAGCCUAUUGGCUGGAUUCCACUAUGAACAAGAGAGAGGUUACAGCACAGCUUUGCCUUGAUUCCACAGUGUAGAUGUUCUACUACACCUCCUCAAGAUUUCUCACAAAUAUAGACUCUCUCUUUCGUAUACAAGUAUUCGCUCAAAGGAUUUGUCUAAACAAAAAGAAGUUUCAGACUUUGGAAUUCUUCUAUCGCGCACACCUUGAACAACUAAGACAGUCUUCCUUAUAUACUCCUUUAUGCCAUCAUACCCGUUGGCACUUACCAAAGGAAUUCCUCCAAUCUACCCGUUGAACGGAAUCAAUUAGGAAGAUUGUCCAAGCUAUAAAUGGAACGUGUUGAUAGCCCAUCAAUCAUGUUCGCCCAUACAAUCAGGAUCUCGGUUUCCAUAAGCAGAACCUUCCAAUAAUAUUUAGGCAAUCACCGGAUCUUCAAUUAUCGAAUCAAUCUUCGAUCAAUCAAAGGACUCCGUUUAUGUCUUCUCCAGCCAUGAGAUCUUCUCCAGUUGAUAAGGUUAAAUCCUCAACGAAACAUCCAGUUCUGGAUAACCUUUCUUCAACAAAUUAGAGACUGUCAAUGAGGAUAGACUUUGAGUCUUGAGUCUAGCUGUCCUAAGGUCUUUAGACUUUAAAUAGCAGAGUCUGCAAGCCUUCAGACUAGACUGAUAUAAACGAUUUGUCAACUUCAAAACACUUCAAGAAGAUUUCUCCAACAAUCUCCCCCUUUUUGAUGGUGACAAAACUUUCCUGCAGAUUUGGAUAUCUUUGACCUGCAAAACAUUUCUCAAACACAUAUACAUAUCUUAUAGAGGUAAAUGUCUUAACAGAAUAACACUAGAAUCUGCAACCACAGAAAAUAGGUUAGUCCAGUAUAUGAUGAAGCCAUCCAUAAGAUAUCAAUAUUAGUUAAUAGAAGCAGUCAAGUCCAAGUCUAGUUUACUUCUCAUCCAAACACAAACCAAAGUCAAAUAGAUUCAAACCACAAAACAAUCCAACAAAAACAAUUAAAAGUUGAAUGAAAGGUUUUUAAUCAAAUCUUGCAUCUCUCCCCCUUUUUGUCAUCAUUAAAAAGGAUGAGAUGAAGUUAAGAAUGCUUGGGAACGCGGACAAGCUGGAAAUCUUCCAUAGACUGAACAAUGCCUUCCAACCUUUUAAAGUCUUCCUUUAGCUGUGCAAUCUCCUCACUCUUGGCAUUGGCCUGAUUCUGAACAGAGAGGGCUUGCAUUUUAUCAUUCAAUAAACAGGAAGAAGCUUGACCUUCAUUCUUCAAGCUUUGAACUUCGCAUCCCAAGGCAUAAAUCUGACCUCGCAUCUCCAAAAGAAUAUCCAUGAUUCUGCGAAAAUCUGCUCCAUUAUCAGUUUGAGUACUUGCUUCGGCUCGAUCUGAUGGAGUAAAUGCAGAUGAUGGUAGAUCAGCAUAAUCUUGCAGGUUUGGCGAUGAAACUUCAUGACCUUCUUCUGGAAAUUGAGAUGCAUAAACAUCCUCUGGAUCUGCUGGUGAGCGACUGAUUCCUUCACUUGCAUCAGGACAUGAAGACUUCACUCCUUUCUCCUGAUCUCCCCCUGUUUCCAUGCCUACAGGUGGAGAAGAGUGUUCUUCAGGUUCUCCUUCUUCUCUUCUUUCUUCUUCAGGUCUUUCCUCCUCUGUUUCUUUUUCAGCUUCUAUUUCUUCUUCUUCCUUCUCCUCUGCUUCUUUCGUCAUUUGCUCCGAUUCUUUCUGUGGAACAAGACGACUUAAAUUCUUCAAAGCCAAUGCAGAGAUGGUGAUGUCUUCCUCAUCAUCUUCAUCCUCAACAAGGAGAGCUCUUCUUCUCUUGGAUGGAGCAACCAUGGGCUCCUUCCCUUUUCUUUUAGCUGCAGAAGAUAUUUGAUGAGAUUUUGCAGGAGUCUUCUCCUUGAAUUUCUCCAACUCCUUGCUCAGUUCUUUCAGACGCAUUUUGGUCACCAUUUUCAGACCUACCACCAUAUGAUCGCAUGGUCGAACACAAAAGAUUUGUAGAGGCUGAAUAUUCAGAUGUCUGAAUAACUUCGUAACAAGGCUUGGGUAAGGGAGUUGACCUCCGUCCUUCAUCAUUGCUCUAUACAUGUGAAACAUCACAGUGUGAGGGAGAGAAAACCUUUUUCCAAAGAGAAUGGCAUACAUCAACUUGGCCUCUGAACUUGAAACAUCAGUCUUGGAAGUCGAUUUCGGUCGGAUGCAAUUAAUCACAAUCUUGUGAAGCAAGAUGUUGAAUGCACCCAUCCUUAAGUAGGUGAUCUUUUCAUCUGUUCUCCUGUCCUUCACCAGUUCAAGAGUGGCCCGAGCAAUGGAAACUUUGAUUGGCUGAUAUCUUCCUCUUUCGACUUCUAACACAUCUGCCAGCAUAUUCAUAUCCACAACAUAAUCUUGGUUUUUAACGCUGAACGAGAAUCUAUUCGCAUCCAAAAAGCUUAGAUUUGAAUAGAAAUAUGCAGUUAAUUCAGCAUAGGCCUCUGUAGAGUCAGAGCAGAACUUUUCAAGUUGAAGAUAACUGAACUUUUCCCUCAAGUUCAUAUUCACAGCAUCCAGAAAAUCGAAAUCUACACUCCUAGGGUUUAUCACCCCACGCUUCAGCAAUUUCGAGUACAGAUCCUUUUGCUCCUUUGAUCUGAACAAAUCUCCCCUUUUUCCUUGGUUAUCAACCGCAACACCCAUUUUCGGUUGGAAUUGACUGUACAAUUUAUCAUCAUCAUUCCCAUCUACAGGAUUCGGCCCCCAGUCACGAGGAUCACUUGGGAUAUUUGCAAGGGUUUCCUCAGCCACCCCUUUUCGAGCAAUUCCCAAACUUUCCAUUUUUUUCAGAAAGAUAUAUUCGUUCCCAUGUCCUUUGUCUUUAAGAAAAUCAUCAAUGUAGUUCAAAGGAGUACGAAUUCCUUUUAGGGCACGAUAUAACUGGUAAAUAUAAGUGGGCUUUUGAACUCUUACAGGGUCUGCAUCCUCGAUGAUUUCUUCCUGUUGUUGAUGAUCAACGCCUUGAGGACUAGAUGGAGGAGAAUGACACUGUUGAGAAUGUUGUGGGCUCGCUUGCUGAUCUGGAGUCACUUCAUCUUCAGUAAGAUCGAAGUGCGUAGGCCCCUCACUCAUCCGCCGUGGUCCCCUGCUUGCAAUUCUCGAAGACUUUCUUGAAGAUGACAUCUUAGUUUUUGGAAGAUUCCUUGCUUGACUUUCCCAGGAAAGAUGACAACUUUUUAAGGAUUAAACGAAGAAGACAAACGGGAAUGGAGGAUCGAUGCUUUCUAGGGUUUUUGAGAGAAAAGUGAAGAGGAAUCGAUAGUUCACGAUCGGUUAAGAAGAGGGAUAAACGAACCAUCAUAAAGGAAAUAAAAAUAUGCCUUUUCAAAAUAACUGUCUUUUUCCGCAAAAAUAGCCAUUUCAAAAAUAACUUCCCUUUUGAAAAUGAAACGAUGCAAUAUUUACUUCAAUUAAAUAUAGCAACAAUUUAAACACAGUCUGACAAUCGUACCUUUUCAAGAUGAGAUUCAAGAGAGAAAGACUUACAGUCUGACGGACGUACCAAGACUGUCUUUCAGAUAAAGUCUUGUAAGUCUGAGUCUGAAAGUCUUUAGACUUUGAUAUCCUCAUACCUCAAAAUGUUGAGUCUCGAGCGUAUAGACUCAAAUUGAUUUUUCUCCAAAGGCUUUGUGAAUAUAUCCGCCAGUUGAUUCUUUGAGUCAACAAAUUGAAUUGAAACAUCUCCAUUUUGAACAUGGUCUCUUAUAAAAUGAUGUCGAAUCUCUAUAUGCUUUGCUCUUGAGUGGAGAAUUGGAUUUUUGGUGAGGUUGAUAGCGCUGGUGUUGUCGCAAUUAAUUUCCGUGCAUGAGUCUUCAAUUUCAAAGUCUCUUAGCUGUUGUUUUAUCCAUAGAAUUUGCGAAUAGCAGCUUCCCAGAGCUACAUACUCUGCUUCUGUUGUUGAAAGAGACACAGUGCUUUGUUUCCUUGAAAACCAAGACACUGUCCUGCUUCCAAGCAACUGGCAAGUUCCCGAAGUGCUCUUUCUAUCAACUCUGCAAUCGGCCAGAUCUGCAUCUGAAUAUCCCAUAAGAUUAAAGUCUCCCUUCUUAGGAUACCAAAGACCGAUGCUUGAUGAUGAAGCAACGUAUUUAAUGAUGCGUUUCGCAGCACUGAGAUGGGAUUCUCUAGGAUCUGAUUGAAACCUAGCAUAGAUGCAAACACUCAACAAGAUGUCAGGUCUAGAAGCAGUAAGAUAAAGGAGUGAACCAAUGAUGCUUCUGUACAGCUUUUGAUCAACUUUCUUCCCUUCUUCAUCUUUGUCUAUCUUCAAAGAACUUGACAUCGGUAUGUCGGUCUUUUUGCACUUUUCUAAUCCAAAUCUUUUGACAAGAUCAUUAACAUAUUUUUCUUGAUAAAUAAAGGUUCAUUCCUUCAAUUGUUUUACUUGAAGACCAAGAAAGAAUGUUAACUCUCCCAUCAUACUCAUUUCAAAUUCAUCCUGCAUAGACUUAGAAAAUUUCUUGCACAUAUUUUCAUUAGAAGAUCCGAAUAUAAUGUCGUCCACAUAUAUUUGAACAAGUAAGAAACUUUUGUUCUCCUUUUUGAUAAAUAAAGUAGUAUCCACUUUACCUUUGACAAAACCAUUUUGUAUUAAAAACUUACUUAAUCUGUCGUACCAAGCUCGAGGUGCUUGCUUUAAACCAUACAGAGCCUUCUUCAGUCUGAAGACUGAGUCUGGCUUCUUUGGGUCUUCAAACCCUGGUGGUUGUUCCACAUAAACUUCCUCUUGGAUGACUCCAUUUAGGAAGGCGCUUUUGACGUCCAUUUGGAAUAACCUGAAAUUCUUAUAACAAGCAAACGCAAGUAAUAGUCGAAUAGCUUCUAACCUUGCUACUGGAGCAUAAGUCUCAUCAUAGUCUAUUCCUUCUUCUUUCAUAUAUCCCUUGGCCACGAGUCUUGCUUUGUUUCGUAUGACUUUUCCUUUCUCAUUCAUCUUGUUUCUGAACACCCAUUUAGCUCCAAUAACAGUUUUACCUUUUGGUUUGGAUGUCAAUUUCCAGACAUCAUUAAUGCUAAACUGUCUGAGCUCUUCUUGCAUAGCUUCAAUCCAGCUUUCAUUAGAUAAAGCUUCUUCUAUGCUUUUUGGUUCAAUUUUAGAAACGAGAGCCACAACACUAGACUUUUCUCGCCUUUUGGAUCUAGUGCGAAUUCCUUCAUUCAUUUCGCCGAUUAUAAGAUCUUUGGGAUGACUGGACUUAUGCUUCCAGUUACUCGUUGAUCUGUCUGGUUGAUGAUUUCUUUCUUUGUUUGGAUCUUCACGAACAUCUUGAAGCUGGUUUUCCAGAGUCUGAGAUGCUUCUUGAGAUGUAAGCUUUGGAAGAUCUGGAGCAGGUUCAGACUCUUCUUGAUGAGUCUGACUUGAUUCAUCUUGUGUUGAGUCUUGGAAUUUGACAUUCAUUGACUCCUCCAUAAACUGGCUCUUCUUGUUAUAGACUCUGAAGGCUUUGCUUGAUGUAGAAUAUCCAAGGAAGAUACCUUCAUCUGAUCUUUCUUCAAACUUACCAACUUGAUCUUUUGCAUUUUUCAAUAUAAAACAUUUGCAACCGUAUACAUGAAAGUAUGAAACAAUAGGCUUCUUAUCUUUGAACAAUUCGUAAGGGGUUUUCUCUAGAAUAGGUCUUAAGAAGAUUCUAUUGAUGAUAUAACAUGCUGUUGAAACAGCUUCAGCCCAAAAUCGUGAAGAAAUCUUGCUUUCAAAUAAAAGAGUUCUAGCCAUUUCCUGAAGAGAUCUGUUCUUUCUUUCCACAACUCCAUUUUGCUGAGGAGUAUAUGGAGAGGAGAACACAUGAUUAAAGCCAGAUUCAUCACAAAAUUUUGUAAAAUCUUGAUUUUCAAAUUCACUUCCAUGAUAUGUUCUUAUACUUGAGAUAACACAUCCUUUUUUCAUUUUGAACCUUUUUAGCAAACUUUUCAAAAUACGAGAAGGUUUCAGACUUACUUGCAAGGAAAUAUACCCAAGUAAAACGGGAGUAAUCGUCCACAAUUACUAGGCAAUAUUUCUUACCUCCAAUACUCUGUGUUCUGGUUGGUCCGAAGAGAUCCAUAUGCAGCAACUGUAGUACAUGAUUAGUAGAGACAUGAUUUAUUGGCUUGAAUGAAUUUCUUAUCUGCUUUCCCAGAAUACAUGGAGUGCAUGGAUCAGUCUUUUGAUAAGGUAAUUUGGGUAGUCCUUGAACAAGCUGCUUUGAUGAGAUUUUGGCUAAUUGCUUCAUGUUAACAUGACCAAGCUUUCUGUGCCAUAAGCUUGCUUCGUCUUGAAUUGAGAUAAAACAUUGCGAUUCAUUUGGUUUCACAUCCAGAAGAUAAAUGUUUCCAUGUCUACGACCCAUGAAAGACUGAGUAGAGUCUUUACUGAUUCCAGAACAUAUUCCUUCUUGAAAAAAGAUCUUGAAACCAGUAUCACACAAUUGACUAAUGCUGAGAAGAUUGUAAUUGAGUCCUUCCACUAAGGAAACAUUACUUAUUGUGAGAUUUCCAAUUUUCACAGUUCCAAAUCCCACAAUACUCCCUUUGUUGUUUCCUCCAAAUGAAACUUUUCCACCAUUUACUUGAGCAAUCUUUAUAAAACAAUUUGAGUCUCCUGUCAUGUGUCUUGAGCAUCCACUGUCAAGAUACCACUUUACCUUUUUCUUGACGGUGACCUGCAUUUAAAAAAGAGUCUCAAGCUUUCUUUGGUACCCAAACUUUCUUGGGUCCUUUUGUGUUAGUAACAUAAGCAGUAUUAGCCCAUAUUCUCUUAACAGGUUUCCAAACCAUAGGACACUCUUUUUCAAGGUGAUCCGGACUGUUGCAUUUUGAACAUUUUAGAGCAUUUCUUCCUACAGAUUUUACAAAAACUUUCUUGAAGUGAUUUUUGUAAACCUCUCUCGAGAGUCUUUUCUUAAUUCUUUCUUUUACUUUAGGAAAAUCAAUCAGGGGAAUUGUUUCUUCUGUCAUACCUAAACCGGACUUAUUGAAGUAAGGUCUUUGAGCUGAAAGAAUUUUCUCAAGUUUUUCGGACCCUAUUGAAAAUUUCUUUGAGAUAUUUGAUAAGUCUGUUUUUAAAAAAGCAUUUUCUUUUAAAAGAUCAUCUUCAUUUUCUUUAAGAGUGGAAACAGUCAAGUCAAGACUUUUAACUCUUUCUACUAAAACAUUUUCCUUUUGUUUUAGAGCUGAGUUUUCCUUUUUCAGUUCGGAAAUUCUUUUGAGAGAAGUCUUAAGACUAAAACAUAAUUCAUCAAUAUAUUUAGAAACUUUGACAGGAAUUUUAAUAUCACUUGCCUCAAAUUUACUGUCUGAGUUUGAUCCAGAGUCUGAGUCUGAUUGUGCCAUCAGACAUAGAUUGGCAUAUUCAUUAUCACUUUUUUCACACUCUGUGUCACUCCAUGUUUUGGCUUUGAGAGCUUUUCGAAAUCUUUCAGCUUUUCCUUUCUUCUUUUUCAGAAGAGGACAGUUGGGUCUGAUGUGUCCCUUUUUCUUACAUUCAAAGCAGACUAUGUCUUUGUUUGGUUCCUCAUCAUCAACAGACUUGGUCUGCUGUCUUUGAAAGCUUUGUUUCUUUGAAUUGAACCUUCUUCCUUUUCUAUUCAGUUUUCUGAAUCUUCUUAUCAUGAGAGCAAGCUCCUCAUCGUCCAUAUCUUCUUCAGAAUCUGUAUCAUCAGAAUCAUUAUUUGAUUUUAAUGCAAUGGAUUUCUUACCUUUUGGAUCUUCAUCUUCAUUGAUCCAUUCCACUUCAUAAGACUGAAGAGUUCCAAUUAGCUCGUCGACAGAUAGUGGCAUAAUUCUUUGCGUCUCUCUUAUCGAAGUCUUUAUGUGAUUCUAAUCCCUGGAGAGUCCACGCAGUAGCUUGUUUACCUUCAUGGGAUCAGAAGUUGGUUGACCUUGAUUUUCAAGACCAUUCACAAUAUCUGUAAAACGACUAAACAUGUCAGAUAUAGAUUCUCCUGGUUUCAUUCUGAAGGCUUCGUAUUGACCAAGAAGAAUGUUGAUUAUAGUUUCCUUCACUCGAUCUGUUCCUUCAUAAGUGAUAUGCAAUCUAUCCCAAACUUCUUUUGUUGUACCACAAGAAGAUAUUCUAUUAUAUUCAGUUGGUGAUAAAGCACAAUAUAAGGAGUAAAUUGCUUUUGCAUCGAGUGCUUGUCUUUUGUUUAUUUCUUCCUGAGACAUUCCGCUGGUUUCAUCAGUUUCUUUUCCUCUUUCAGAUACUGAUGCAGUGGUAGGAGUAAUUCCUUUUUCUACAACGUCCCAUUCCAGAGGAUCCUUUGAUCGAAGGAAAGCUUUCAUCUUGUUCUUCCAGAUGUUGUAAUCCUUUCCAUCAAAGUAGGGUGGUCUGGUAUUGCUUUGCCCUUCCAUCAACCCUGGUGCUAGCAUACUAGCCAUGGAUCUUUUACUACGAAGUAAAACACUUCAAAUAAAGUAAGUACACAGGCUCUGAUACCAAUUGAUAUUGCUAGUAUGAGUACCUAGAGGGGGGUGAAUAGGUAUAUAAAGAGUUUUUCUCAAGCAAUUGCACAAUACUAGACAGUUGGAUGAAACGAUAAUCAAAGUAAGACUGAGAGAAGAGAAAAUUUAACACGCGGUUUAUAGUGGUUCGGCUUAUAUCAAGCCUACGUCCACUCUUCUUCACUGACAGCCUAUUGGCUAGAUUCCACUAUGAACAAGAGAGAGGUUACAGCACAGCUUUGCCUUGAUUCCACAGUGUAGAUGUUCUACUACACCUCCUCAAGAUUUCUCACAAAUAUAGACUCUCUCUUUCGUAUACAAGUAUUCGCUCAAAGGAUUUGUCUAAACAAAAAGAAGCUUCAGACUUUGGAAUUAUUCUAUCGCGCACACCUUGAACAACUAAGACAGUCUUCCUUAUAUACUCCUUUAUGCCAUUAUACCCGUUGGCACUUACCAAAGGAAUUCCUCAAAUCUACCCGUUGGACGGAAUCAAUUAGGAAGAUUGUCCAAGCUAUAAAUGGAACGUGUUGAUAGCCCAUCAAUCAUGUUCGCCCAUACAAUCAGGAUCUCGGUUUCCAUAAGCAGAACCUUCCAAUAAUAUUUAGGCAAUCACCGGAUCUUCAAUUAUCGAAUCAAUCUUCGAUCAAUCAAAGGACUCCGUUUAUGUCUUCUCCAGCCAUGAGAUCUUCUCCAGUUGAUAAGGUUAAAUCCUCAACGAAACAUCCAGUUCUGGAUAACCUUUCUUCAACGGAUUAGAGACUGUCAAUGAGGAUAGACUUUGAGUCUUGAGUCUGGCUGUCCCAAGGUCUUCAGACUUUAAAUAGCAGAGUCUGCAAGCCUUCAGACUAGACUGAUAGAAACGAUUUGUCAACUUCAAAACACUUCAAGAAGAUUUCUCCAACACAAUCCUUGUAGCAACCUCUGCAACUUGUGCAGUUGCUCGUCUUCUCACCUAAGAAACACAUAACAAAUGUAAAUUUUAGCCCAUAAAAAGGCCAAACACAGUGAUGUACAACUUACAGGAUAUUUUUUUCUUGUUUGCUCAACGGUGGACUCAGUUGUUAUUGUUGCUGUCUUACCAAUUCUAGUCCUUAUCCCUGCACUUGAGCCUACAACAUGGCCUUUUUCUGGCCCUUUAGUAGGCCUUACAACAAUGUGCUGUAUUAGGAUUAUGACCAACUACAACGAAUAAUUACACAUCUCAUUUUCAUAGUGGAAACACAUGGAGAAAACUUCUCAAAUUACAAGUGCAUGACAGAGGAAAAGCACAAGAGAAGCUAGUACACAUGGUCAACCAUCAAACUCUAUCGAAUAAGAACUGUAAAGUUACUGAGAUAAAGAGGAUACUUACCUUACAGUAUGGCUUUCUGUUGCCCUUUAGUAGACAUUACAGCAGGGCCUUCUGUUCUCCCUUCAAUAAGCCCAACAAGAAACUCUUUGUAAGUCAUGUCCCUGGCAUUGAAUCAACCAUUACAUCUUGCUAUUGAUACUGCUUUUUCAGCUCACAACCUUUCUUAUCGUGCCCUUCCUUGCGGCAAUAGGAGCAUUUCAUAUUUGAUCUAGUCCUACUCAUCCUUUGACUUGAUGCCUCUUCCUAUUGCAUUCUUCGUCUCUUUUUUGGCCUUCAUAUUUGCUUCUUCAGCGGUAAAGGUAGAGGGCUUUAAUGAUUUGUUGGCUCCCAAAAUUUGCUGCUUCUGAUAGGCUACAUCAUGAAUUGGUAUGAAGCAAGGUAUGAGCUUUUUUUGUACCAAUCAUCUAGGUAAUCAUCUAGGUUUUCUUGCUUCAUCUGAAUAGCACAAAUGGCAUGAGCACAGGGAAUUCCAUUCAGUUGCCAAGCUCGGCAUGAACACUUUCUUCUAUCCAAGUUGACAACAUACUUAUCAUGAUUUGGAAUAAUCUCAUACCCAUUAUCUUCAUUCCAAACUGGAUGGCAGAACCUACUAACAGCAAUAUUUGCAUCUAAUCUCUUCACAAUCCUAGGGCCACAGUCUCUACUCCAUUUUGUAGCAUCAUCUCUUUGCCUAUGCAGUCUAGUCAUAACCAUAACUCGAAUAUCAUCAAGCAUGCUGAUGAUUGGUUUGCACCUAGCCUCUAAAAUUCUACCAUUGAAAGCUUCAUUGAGGUUGUUAUCAAUGUUAUCGCAUUUGAACUCUUCGCUGAAGAAGACCCGACACCAGUGCUUAGCUUCUGUCUGGAAGAGUGUAUCAAAACCUUCAUUUGUCAGCUGUAACAAUCCUUGUUUCGCUAAUUUGAAAUCAACCAUAUUCGUACUCUUUGCUAUCUGCCAGAACUGCUUCUACAACAUAUCUCCUUUGAAGUUCCUUGACCAGUUUGCAUAUAUGUGCCUCGUGCACAUUCUAUGCUCAGCAUGUGGCAUCAACUCAGCCAAUGCAGGAAUAAGUCCAUACAAAAAUUCAAACCAAUAAAUACAAGUCAAGAAAAAUAUGCAAGUGAUUAAUAUAUAAAUGAGUGAUUAUUGACAUGAAAUUACCUUCUAUUGGUUGCUCAUGAAUGCCCAUCCUCCCCCAUCGGUUAUCACAAGGUCAGUCAUCAAAUUUUUUAGGAACCAUGACCAAAUAUCCUUGUUCUCUAUCUUUACCACCGCCCAAGUUAUCGGGAACAUUUAAUUAUUGGCAUCUCUCCCCACAGCAACCAACAACUCCCCCUUGCAUAAACCCUUUAGAAAGCAUCCAUCCAAUCCUAUAACUCUUCUACAACCAACCAAGAAGCCCCGUUUGCAUGCAUCAAAACAGACAUAAAAUCUAUCAAAUUUAGGCCAAAGAUCAGGGAGUGGCCUCUUCACAACCUCUACAUAUACCCUACUGGAUGGGUUUUGAAACAUGUAUUCACCAGCAUAAUUCCAUACCUGUGCAUAUUCUUCUUUAUACCCACCCAUCAAUAUUUUCAUCACCCUUAUCUUAGCUCUCUUACAUUGAUUCCUCGACACAUUAACCUCCACUUGCUCCUUCACUAAUUGUUGAAAUUGAGAACUCUUGAUCUCGGGCAUUGCUUUGAUAGUAUUAAAAAAAUUCUUUGAUAACCACACACUUGUUACCCUUUUAUUAUUAAAGAUAAUUGGACAAGUAUGCUCCUCCUGAAAGGACCUAAGCUAGAAUGACCUAUUCUUACUAAGCGCAGCAUAGAGCUUCCAUGAACAAUUAGGUUGUGAGCACUUAGCUCUCACAAAUUCCUUCGUGUUUCUAAUAAAUUUAACGCUCCUCUGUUCACCAAUUGAGUUCUUCACAACAGCUUCCUUGAACUGUUUGGCAUUGUCAAAUCUCAUGCCCACCGACAAAACAGGUUUAUCAACAGUUGAAUCAUAGAAAGGAUACUUACUUUUUCUUCGAGGAGCAGGUUCUUCAUCAUCAUUGUCAAGCUCAUUUUCCGAACUAGUAACUUCAUCGCCACAGCUUUCUUCAUCUUCACUUCUAUUACCCUCAGCUUGAUCUCCAUCCCUAUUUACUGGCUCGGACCUUUUUGCUAAAGCUACAAGUUUUUUUUUCUCAGAAAUUCCCUUUGCUUUUGUCUUGACUGUACGAGUUCAUCAUCAUCUUCGUCACUUGGAAAAUUUACUAAAGCCAAACAUUCAUCUUCCGAUUCAUUAGAUAAAGCAAUUUCCCAUUCUAAUCCAAUGAAGUCUUCAUCGCCCACAUCUUCACCCAAAUCUUCACCCAAAAUUUCAGGACAUCUCCCUCUUUGUUCAUCUCUAUCAAUAUGACUUAUCUCCCUCUCAUUUUGCCCUUCAUCUAACCUAAACUUAUCCCCGACUUGAUUACUCGUUUGAACAAGAUCCCUCACUUCUCCUCCUUCAGUGGUCGUCUGCUCAUCCACAUCCUCAUCCUCAUCCUCACUAUAAUACUCAACAUAUACCUUAACUUCUUCAUUGUGAAGAUAAUGGUAAAUGAUAUCCUUAAUACCAUUAUCGUUGUUAAAAAAUCUUAACCCAUCCUUCAAUUCCUUCCCAGGAACACAGUAAUGUAGUUUUUGCACUUUGCAUCGUAAAAAAUACACCAAAUCUCUCAGAAAAUCAAUAUAUGAUGGCUUCCAAACAUUGACAUAAAUAGUACCUUAAUUUCCACUAUUUUAUUAUCAAUCUUCAGUGCCAAUAACAAACUCUCCACCAUAGUAAACAAUGACGCUUACCUGAUUCGUGUCCAUGUCGAUGCUGCACCCAAUGAAAAAAAAAAGAGUCAUUGUCGUUUUGUUGGAACCACAUGACAGAAUCGACAACUUCACAUGUAGGUCCUUAUCGUUUUGUUGUCAAGGAACAAAUGCGACUAAAAUCUCCCCAAUUCGGUGGAUUUACAGAAAUAAAAGAAACCGAAUUAAAUAAACAAAGUGAGGUCCCCACCACUCAUUUUUCAAUUCAAUCACAUUCACAUUCGGUCCCCCACAAAAGCAGUCCAAUUAAUUAAAUAAAAAAAUUCGGUCCACCACUGUUUCCCUCCGAGUCAAGCCUCUCCGCACCAUUUUUUCUGUUCGGUCCUCACAAUAGAAAACGAACAAACGAUGGAAGAAUCAAUUUUUCUAUUCCGUCCCCAUAAAAGUGACAUCCCCACCACUUUCCCCACUACUUUCCGCUUGAGCCAAGCCCUCAAUUUGCCCUCCGUGCCCUAAUUUGCCCGUCGGAACCCUAAUUUUUUCGCAAAAUUGAUCCACGUAGAGAACAUGACAAACUUGAACGAUCGUGAACAAUGGCGCAACUACAACGGUGGCCAAGCGAUAGUGGGCGAGCGACAGCAGGCGAGCGAACGACGGUGGGUGAACGACAGUGGGUGAGCGAGCUCCGGCCAGCGUCGAGGAGAAUAAUAUACGAACCCUAUUUUACUCCCUCUUCAGCAACAUCGUUUUUUGCUAUGGAGCAACGCGGCGUCGUUUCUUAUGUGAAUCCACGGUGGAUGGCAAGAAACAACGUUGUUUCUUACAAAGAAAGGAAAACGGCGUCGUUUUAUGCUAUCCACCGUGGACAAUCUUAAGCCACAUCGUUUUUUUUUUAAAUAUAAAAGCCACGUAUUUAUUUUGGCCGAAAUUUCUCGCCAGUGGCACCAAAGUGAUCGUUUUUUCUCCGAUUUGGCACUUAAGUGAUUUGACGGAAACUUUUGACACCAAAGUGAGCGCCGUACACAACUUAUGGCACCAUUAGUGUACUUUUCCCCAAGGUUAAGGCUUGCCACACUGAAUGUAACUUCGCUUUGGGACCCAACCAACGCUAGAACGCCACCCGUCUUCAAAAGAGACAUGUAAGGAUCAAAUAGGUGAUCAGCAGAUGCCGUGUCGAUUAUAAAGUCCAGGGACUUAGCCAUGGCCUGCAUGUAUUGGAAUCAUCAGAUCACGGUAGCACUUGACCUUAAUGGAUCUAAAGUAUUGAUAAUUUUAAAUCUUCCCGCCUGCCUUCGUCUAUUCUUGGUCAGAUGAGAUAACGAAGUGGUCAGCACCAAGCAAGCUCAGUGCUUCCUCCUUUUUAGAAAUGCUUGUACUAAACAUAGCGAAUUUCAGUCCAUAAGCCUUCCCAAGCUUAAUUGCCAUGUGACUGAGCCCACCGAGUCCAAUUACACCAAGAGACUUACCCGGUUGGUUCAUCUUGUGACGCACCAUUUGAGUGUAUAUUGUGAUUCCAGCACAAGGCAAUGGUGCUGCUAAAGCCAACGGGAAGUUUUCUGGAAUCCUGAAGCAGUACCUGUUAAUGAAGCACCACAAUUAAGUUUCCAAAUCACACCAAAGGAGGAAGGGAUUUCCCAAUAGAAUCAGCAUCCCAUCUUUUUUGUACAACGGGAUUCAAAUCACAUUUUACUUGCUUAGAGCACAAUUCAACAUCAUGUGGUUUCUGUGAUUCUUUUUCUGACCACAAAUUGCUUAAGACGAAAACUUCUUGCUGUAGCGACGAAAGUAAAGCCACUGCAGCAUACAGGAGGCCAUACUUGAUCAAAAUUGAGAAAAGAGGCUUGCUCUAACAGAGUACACUGGAAGCAUAUUGCAUAUGCAUGGCAGAUCAUGUAAUUUCUCUAUUCCCCUCAAUCAUGUCUCUAAGGGACACGAUAUUCCCGUGACUGUCGAAUACAAGAAUCCGUGAAAGCACGUACAUUUUAUUACCCAUUUGAUCUAACACUUACCAUCUAACUCUUGGAAACAAUCUAAAAAAAGGGAGGAAGAGGAGAUAGAAGGCAAGAAUUGAGCAAUUUCCAUCUGUUUCUCUCUUUUAAUUAAGAGUUAAUAUCCUAAAAAACUCCAAAUUGGUACACAUGUGACAAAUUUACCCCGAUGGACUAUUAAAAACCCUAAAAUUAUAUAUUUAUGACAAAUUUACCCCAAACUAAUUUAUUCGACCACAAAAAAAAUGGUAAAUUUGUGACAAAUAUAUCCUCCACUAAAUUGAAUUAAUACCAUAGUAAACCGUGACAAACGGAGCGUAAAAUCUCAAAUUGAUAUACUAGUCAACUGUCACAUGUCAUUUAACUUAAUAAUUUGACAGUAAAAUUUAAUGAAAACUAAUAGAAGGUAAAUUUGUCACAAGUGUACCAGUUUAGAGUAAAUUUGUCAAAUAUAUAACAAUUUAGAGUUUUUUGUGGUAAAAAAAAAUAGUUUGGAGUAAAUUUGUCACAGGUAUAUCAGUUUGGGGUUUUUUAGGGUAUUAACCCUAUAAUUAAUUUAGUUUUAAAUUUAAUCUUAUUAAUUUUUCAUGAAAAAUUCAUAUGUUAAAUUUAUUGGCUCACAUGUCAUUGUCACUUGAUGUGUAUGAUAUAUAGAAUAGUCCAAGAAAUUUGACUUUAGAUACAUGGGAACCCGCGAAUGGUCAUACAUUGUCGAUUACACAUUCAACAUGAUGUAUUAGCUAAUCAUAGUCCUCUAACGGUUUAUAUUUGCUUAAUAUAUUUCAAGAAUAUUAAUUUGUUAGACUUGUCCGCUCACACGCCGCUGUCACUCGAUGUGUAUGAUAAGCAGAAUAGUCGAAGAGCUUUGACUUUAGAUACUUGGGAGUGUCUAUGCUUGUUUUAUGUCUAUUAUGCUUGCAAUGCUUCUUGUUUUGAGUGGACAGUACAAAUAUUUAAGUCCGUGUCAAUUUGAACAAUUUUCUUUAUUAUAGAGCAACAGUCUUUAAUCUAUUGUGUUCUUGACCACAAAAAACCAAAUAACAAAUAAGUAUAAAUUAUUGUAGGGUCCAACGACAAUCUUUAAUCUAUUGUGUUCUUGACCACAAAAAAUCAAAUAAUAAAUAAGUAUACAUUAUUAUAGGACCCACUCCUUUAAAAAUUUGUUGUUCACAAAAACUUAUUUAUUCUCAUAAUAACCCAAAGUUAUGCUAGCAAAAAUGCAAUUUAAUCCUAAAAUUUGUCACGAAAUGCAAUUGAGUCCUAAAAUUUUCAAAAAGUACAAUUAAUUAUAAAGAUUUAUCAAAAUUGGUCCAAUUUAAGUCAUUCCAUUCAUUGCAAUUUUUGAAAGUUUUAGAGCUCAAUUAUGCUUUCCUAACAAGUUUUAUGACUUAAUUAUAAUUUUUGAAAAUUUUAGAACUUAAUUGUAAUUUAUGAUAAGUUUUAGGAUUUCUAGUACACUUAUCUUUUUUUUUUGUUUUUCACCUCAUUAAUCUUUUUUGCAACAAUGAGCUUGACAUAUCUCUGUUUUGAGGAUUUCAGUGGCUAGGGGAAACACAGGGAUGUCCUCUAAUGAAUCAACAAUCUUCCUGCCAUGACAAUGCCGGAAGAGAGAUGAGUGUCUUACAUAGUUAACAAAAAUGUUCAUGUUAUAAUUGGUAAGCAUUCGCUUUCCCAACGUGCAUGAACAUUUCCGGCGAUGAAACAUUCGUGAGGAGCCAGUAAAGACAUCCUGUUAUUUAAACCGGCAAGAGGAUAUCGAGCUUGCUCUAUUGGCAAGUAUAUUGUUGUCAGAUAAGCCUAAUAAAUCCGAUAUUUUCAUACAAAAAAUCGUCAUCGAGGCCAACUUAAUCCAAAAUGCCAAUGGACAGGCUUGGGUAAGCUAGUGGAUAGGUAUGCCGCUUUAUCUUAUGUCGUGUUAUCUCACGAGAGAUGGUGCUGCGUUCUCUUUAGAAUGCACAUGACUUGGGAUAGGAAAACCUUAGGAUCCGACUAGGAGGAAGGAAAAAAGCAAUCUAUUGUCGGGCCAAUAUAAGAUCAUUUCAUGUCAAACUCCGCAGUCUUGAGGCCAUGGAAUCUACGACAUACUUGCUCAUUCACAAGGACUGAGCAAAUAAAUGAUAAAAUAAGAGCAAUGGUCGUCAUUGAUCGUCUGCCCUUUAACUGAUUGGAUUCUAAAUAUUUUAUUUUCAAUUGGGGUCUAAAUAUUUUAUUUGAUUCAAUUGACUUCUAAAGAUUUCCAAUUUUAGUCAAUCAAGUCCCUCAAAUAUUAUCCUCGGAAAGAGCCACAUGGCUGUGAUUUUCCUAGUGGCUAAGGAGAUGCUUGAGGAGAAAACCUGUAGGAGAGGCGAAGCCAUCCAAGCAGAACUCUCAAGAAGUCAAUUUUUCAGACAGUUUCUCAAUCAUCACAUAGAGAAGUACCAGGAUUUCAUUACCCAUUUCACUUGUUUCUGCUAUAAAACUCACGAGUAUCGAAGUAUAUCAGGCAUAGUUUAUUUGUACUCCAGCAGAGCAAUUAAGAAGGCAUAGAUGAUGCUCUCCUCUAGCUGAAAGCCCGAAACUCCCACUUUUCCUCUGUGUGAUCAGCCUUGCCAGCAACAAUUUCCAACUACCCAAAUUGAUGUUGAAAUUUAAUCAAAUAGACUCAGAGAAGAAAACAAACAAGAGAAUUGUUGCUGUAACUUUCGUUACUUUAUUCAUCAGAACAUAAGCCUAUUAAAUAGGCAGAACAUCCAAACCACUUAGCAAGACAAUAGCUAUAGAACAACAACAAAGACCCACUAACAUACCCCACUAACCAGAACAUAUGCAGAAACUAACUCCUAAAAACAAGCCACAUCCUAUUGACUAGGACUCCACUAUUACAUUAUUGAAGACACGUAAAAACUGAAAGUUAACUACUUCAACAAUUGAUGGUGUCACUUCAAGGAGUUCUCAAUGUCAAUCACGAAUCGAUACUUAACAUCUCUCUUGAUGAGCCUCUCCAGAGCUUCGUUGGCGUAAUCGAUCGGUAUCACUUCAAUGUUUGGGUAUAUCUUCUGCACCGCACACAAGUCUAUCAUUUCUUGGGUAUUCUUUGUUCCUCCCGUUACGCUACCCGUAACAGUUCUCAUAUCUGCCAAAAGUUCACCGCGAGCAACUUAAUUCACCUAUCAGGUAUGAAAUUUCAUUUAGUAAUCAGAUUUGAGAACAAAAACAUACUGAGGUUAAGGCUGGCUGGACUGAAUUUAACUUCGCUCGGGACGCCGACCAAUGCUAGAAUGCCACCCGUCUUCAAAAGAGACAUGUAAGGAUCAAAUGGGUGAUCACCGGCUGCCGUGUCGAUUAUAAAGUCCAGGGACUUAGCAAUGGCCUGCGUGCAUUGGAUUUAUCAGAUCACAACAGAAUUUGACCACCAUGGAUCUCAAUGUGGAUAAUUCUAGUUUUUCCUCUUUUUACCUUCAUCUGCUCCAGGUCAGAUGAGAUAAUGAAAUGGUCAGCCCCAAGCAGGCUCAGUGCUUCCUCCUUUUUAGAAAUGCUUGUACUUAACACUGUGACUUUCAGUCCAAAAGCCUUCCCAAACUUAACUGCCAUAUGACCGAGCCCACCAAGUCCAAUUACACCUAGAGACUUACCAGGUUGGUUCAUCUUGUGACGUAUCAUUGGAGUGUACACCGUGAUUCCAGCACAGAGCAAUGGCGCUGCUAGAUCCAUCGGGUAGUUUUCUGGAAUCCUGAAGCAAUACCUGUCAAUGAAGCACCACAAUUAAGUUUCCAAAUAACACCAAGACAGGAAGUGAUUUCCCAAUAGAAUCAGCAUCCUGUCUUUGUUGUCUAAAAGGAAUCAAAUCACAGAGCCAGAAAUCCUAUCUUCCACAUGCUUGGGAAUUUUACUUGCUUAGACCACAAUUCAGCAUCAUGUUGUUUCUGUGAUCCUUGUUCUGACCACAAAUUGCUCUAGACAAACAUUUCUUGCUGUAGCAACGUAAAUAAAGCAAUUGCAGCAUACUGGAGACCACACUCGAUUAAAAUUAAGAAAAGACACUUGCUCUAAGAAAGGAAACUAGUGGCAUAUCAUGUAUGCUUGACUGAACACGUAAUUUUGUAUUUCCUUCAAUCAAUUUCUCCAAAGGACUCAAGAUUCCUGCGGCUCUAUCAGAAACAAGAAUUAGUGAAAGCGCAUACAUUUAGCUACUCAUUUGAUCUGAUACUUAUGAUCUAACUCUAACAAUCUAAGGACAGCUUAUUCCAUUCUUGACAAUGGUUAUUCAAAAGAAAGAAUUUCUUUUCGCAUUUAAUAAAGCCAGUUCUCCAUUGAAUGGUUUGAAUGGUAAUUGGAUACAGAGGACUUAAAGACUCUCCAGAGUCGUUAUAGAAAGUAUCUUUAUCCCUUUCCACAAGAUGCAAUUAAUGCCUAAAAGCCAUUCCUCACAGUCCUAUGCAUUAUGCCACUUCUGGUCACAAUCAGAAUAAGAAGAAAAUUAGCAGAGAAGAAGACAUGACAUGAAAUCUUUUUUUGGCCACCAUGAUUUGGAAUUCUGUCACAGUGCAAAAUGCUGCCUAAUAACACUGUGUCAGUAAGCAAUUACCUUUCAUGGACGACAAUGUGACUAGAAUAUCCUCCCUUUGUCACUGUACCAUCUGCAUCAAUUCCAUCAAAAGUCAUAACCGACUUUUCACAUUGGACUUCUAGCCUGUCAUUGCAAUACUCGCACUCUCUGCAUGAAUUGACAUAAGUUCCCACCCCCACAUGAUCGCCAACUUUGAAGCGUUGGACACUGGAGCCAACCUGUUUCACAAUUCCAACUAUCUCGUGCCUGAAUCAAUCAAAAAAAAUUUUCGCAAAUUUUGUUCAGAGAAUUAUGAGGAUGGUGCUAAGAAAAAAGAUUUAACAUUUGAAUCCCGCUGCAUCCUACCCCGGCACCAGAGGAUACUUGGAGUGUCCCUGCACAUUCCUAGUCCAAGCCACAUCUGCGUAGCACACUCCACAGUGCGUGAUCUUAAUCGAGACGUCUUCGCUUCCCACGGCCCUAAAGAGAUGAUUCCCAAACAGGUGAGCAUAUAAUCCAGUGACUAAUCAGACUAGGGUGCCCUUUUUUUCCAUUUUCAAGAUCAACAAACUAAACUUGACCUACGAUUAUUGAGGAAACAAGAAACCAGAAAUGAGAAAAGGAAAAAUUCCAUGACUACAAGCAUAUUUGUCCAUACGGUAGAUACAACCUCAAAUGCUCAGAAAGGCAGCCAGUACAGGAUCCUCAUGUCUGCAGCCAGUACAGGAUCCUCAUGUCUGCCAUGAAAUUCUGAGUAACCCAUAACCAACAAUUCUCGACUCAGAAUUCAGCGCAUACACAACAAAAGAAAGAACGAAAAAAAAUGAAAUGGUCUGGACCGAAACUGUCUCUCGUGAACACUGUACUGAGACUCUCGCAUGAACACUUCGGUAGAAAUCGAAAAAGAAAAAAAAAAAAAAUGGCAAUACCUGCGGGUGAAUUUGUAGGGGGAGAGGAACCCAGAAGGGUCCCGGGCAGCCCAACCGAGGCAAUCCUCCUUCCCACCCUCCGAGCUCAUCUUCUGCACCUACACACCCGGCGAAGCAAUCACACAAACAGGUACGGUUAGAUUCAUCCAAAGAAGAAGAAGAAAGGGUGAGAACGCGAACGAGAGAGUGCCCAAGAUCAGAGACUCGACGGGUCAUCACACGGCGACGACUCGAGUCACAACGAGCUCGCCAUCACUCAUCAACUCACUCACUCACCCACCCCCACCUACCCAAGCACAACCCCACAGCAACUCAGAGAGAGAGAGAGAUGACUACGGAGAUGGAGAGAGGUUACGCGGUGGUGGAGUAUGCGGUAGCGCGAAGAGGGUGAUGAGCCGAGCAGAGUCGAGGACGGGAGGUUCAACGAAGACUUUUGCCCCCUCCUACUUUGCAGGAAAGCUACGAGUCGUCGUAUGGAUUUUAUGGCGGUGGCCCCUAGGCUCUAAAAGAAGGUUCGAGGAGCCUACUGCCUAGCCUUCUUUUGCUGUUGGUUUCAAUAUCUGCUGCUUUUCCGCCUUAGCCCAACCGACAUCGCCCUCAAAAGACAUCAAAGAUAAGGUAGUUGGAAGGAAACAUCAUCCGAAACUUAAAGAUGGGGUAGUUGGAAGGAAACAGUAUACGAAACUUUGGUUCAAUAGGUAACGUGAUUUUCUAAAUUUUUAAUUUACCCAAUAUGAUUUUUUAAAAUUUUGGUAUAGAUUCAACUUAGUCUUUAGAGUAUAUAUUGUCGCAAAUUUUAAAUUAAUAAAAUGACGACGUUGAAUAUUUUCAUAUGAUCAAAUGACAACAUUAAAUAUGUACUAAAAUUUUGAAUAAUAUUGAAUAUUUUCAUAUAAUUUUGAGAUUAUAUAGAAUAUGUAUCAAAGAUCAUUAACUAUAUAGUUCCGUUCAAUUUGCGGAAAAUAAUUUCCGAAAAACCGUUUUUCAGAUUUUUCGACAUUCAUUUCAUGAAAAAUGAAUUCAUUGGGAAAAAUGUUUCUUCUAAAUUAAGGGAAAAUGUUUUCCACUUUUAAAAAGUGAAAAACAUUUUCUUCACUCGAUCUCUCUUAUCUUACACCUCUAAAAAUCUCUACUUUAUCCUCACAUUUCUUUUUCUUCUUUUCUUUUUUUAAUUCAAAUUAUUUUUAAUUUCCUUUUUAUUUUAUUUUUAAUUUUUCUUUAUUUUUCUUUUUCUUUUCUUUGUUUCCCAUCUUUUCUUUCUUGGCUAGUUGUCAGUCAUUACCAAGCGAAUCUCGAGUUCGUCAAUCUUAAGCUCACACUCUGUACUCUUACUUAUCAUUUUCUUUAUUUACUCUAUCCUGCAGUUGUAUAUUGCUCAAACAAAUGGCUCUACAUGCUUUGCUUCUUUUUUCUUUUGUUUAUUAGAACACAAAAGACGCAUGAGAGAACAGGCCACUCAACUGGAAGAUUCUCAUUAGGGCUGUACAUGCUUUGCUUCUUUUCUCUUUUACUUCUUUUUAAAAUCCAUACAGACAUUUUUUAGAGUAGAUGAGCGUUUGACAACAAUGAGGGAACAAAGAUAUGCUCGAAUUUAAAUGCAAGUUCAUAUUUGAUGGGUUUAUAGGUCGGUAAGUGAUGCAUGCCUAAGUGGUGAAGUCUUAGAAAAUAUUUUCCUUACCAAACACCGAAAAAUAAUUUUCGAAACAUUUUCAAGUUUUAGCUUAACACUAGAAAAUAUUGUAAUUUUCCUAGAAAAUGAUUUUUGGAAAAAUAUUUUCCGGAAAUGACCAAUUUUUCACGAAACGAACGGACCCUUAGUCUCGGGAGUUUCUAUGUUACAUAUGAUCUAGUCCUUCAACUUUUCUAUUUGUAUACACUCAAAUCUUUUGUCAUAUUCAGUUUUUAUGCAGUUAAGUUUUAUUUUGUUCAUUCAAAUCAUUCAAUGUUCUCGACUAGUGCAAUUGAGUGCUUCACUCACCCAUCAUAACACACAAUUCCAUUUUUCUUUUUCCAAGUUUGCUUUUCGCUCAUUUGGCACCACCUCAACAUUGUGCGAUAUUUUCUACCUCAAUGAUAAUACUAUGUUAUUGAUUACUAUGACACAUUCAGCAAGAGGAUUUACUGAACGAUUUAAUUGCACGAAUCAAGAAAGUUAGAAGACUUGAUUGAACAAAAUAUAAAGUUAAGAGGAUCAAAUUGUGCCGAUAUGGAAAUUUGGAUGACUAAAAUUGCAUCAAACCCUUUUAUAGGGAGAUGGGUCAGCCACAAUAACAUAUUCUUUUUCAGUGACUGGCUUUGACACAACCAAUGCAACAUUAGUACGAAAAUGAAAGAUGAGUGGACAAAAGAAGGGCAACAGAUGUUAAACGAAACCUGUUUCCCAAAAGCACCAUGCAGAAACUUCCUUUCAUUGGAAAAUUUUUCUUGAAACGGAACUAAAGAUUACUGGCUUCGACAUAACCGAUGAACAUACCAAGAGCUGAGGCCUUAUCCAACAACAACGUGAAAAUGAAAAAUGAGUUGAAAAGAAUGGACAGCAGCUGUCAAAUUAAACAUUUUUUCCAUGUCUCGUUCAGAACUUGUCACUCCUUCAUUACAAUCUUGACCCUUUUGAAAUUGGAAGUGAAGGUUACUGGCUUCGACAUGACCAAUGUAUAACUUGUCGCUCAUGCAAUAUGGUAUAUAGAAAUGAAAGAUGAGUAGAAAAAGAAAUGGACGAUUGCUGUCAAAUUAAAACCUUUCCCAAGUCAACUUGUCGCUCCCCUUCCUUCCAUUAAAAUGCUUUUAUGGUGGAACUGAAGAUUACUGGCUUUGACACAACCAAUGUAAACCCUCCAAGAGGUGAGAGAACUUAUGCAAAAGUAUAAAAAUGAAAGACGAGUCAAAAAGAUGAGGACAAUAACCAAAUGCGUGCAACUCAAUUGCACUUUUUGAUAAGGAUAAACUGCACCUCUCCUCAUCAUUGAAAGAGAUAGGAUUAAACGCAGACGUGAUUGACAUAGAGAUUCUUACUAGAAAUUAAAUAAAAAUAAGUCUUUCUUGGUAACAGGAUGUUUGUUCUCGUGACCGUGUAGGUCUUUCUAGGUUCUCUGACGCGUGCCAUGAGGUCAUGGCAUGUUAUGCAACCAGAGAUAUCCAUUCCAUAUUUCUAUGGUAUCUAUCCAUCGUUACCUCCCGUGAACCUAAGAAGAACAAAACCAAUCCAUAAAGCUGGAGGAUCAAGAACAACCCGCCCUAAGUUAUUGAUGAACUGAGUUAACUGUUUGAAGCCUAAGUAGCGAAUCAUUUAAAGUUUAAGCUACUAAAAUGUCAGAUGCCAAACAGAAGGAAAAUCUACAGAGCCAACAUCUGCAUCGGAUCAACGAUGGCAUAUCAACAACUAAGGGAAAAAUCUGCUACUAAAUAUUUAUCUGAAACUAUAAGCGAGGAUCACGUUGCACUUGCAUAAGUCUGUUAACGCAGGUCAAUGGUCAUGUUCUGGCCAGCUAUGUAAGAAGUUUGAAAACUCUACACGGACAGGCACCAUUUGCAAGAAGACCUGUUCCCUCAAAUGCUCAUCUUUGUACUGAGCUGGAAAUGCUUUUAGCAGAUGACUGUGCCUCCAGAAACAAAUCGCAUGAAGUGGCCCACAAUUCUCUGGCAAGUCCAGUGUCGUACGAAACUAAAGAAGAGUUGAUAGUCCGGCCCUUCCCACCAAAGAAUACACACCAGAAAUUUCCUAUAUUUGCAAGACAGCGGCUAUUAGUAAGCACUGUUCCAACAUAUAAUAGCAGCCGCAUAAGAUUGAUACCACAGAUUAUCAGCAGAGAAGGGAAAAUCAAUUCUGGAAACACUCUGUCAUACCGUAGAAUCAACAUUAAUGGAUUUUACGUCCAAUGCUAGUACGACCUCAAUUGAGGAUAAAACGAGAGAGACUCAUUCAAGAUGGUUCAGAUAAGUGAAGCACCAGUACAGGAAUGCUUUACACCAGCCCCAUUUAGUGGGAAAAAAUCACUAUCACCCAUAUCUGCAGCUGUGGUUGCCUAUUGAGAUGAAACACAAGUGAUUUCAUUGCAGUCCCAUCUAGCAGUCCCAUCUAGCAUAUAGCAGAAAUUAAAGAUAACGAUUGCAGUCAGAAAAACACAUAAGAGAAUUGUUGCUGUAACUCUCGUUACUUUAUUCAUCAGAACAUAAGCCUAUUAAAUAGGCAGAACAUCCAAACCACUUAGCAAGAAAAUAGCUAUAGAACAACAACAACAAAGACCCACUAACACACCCCACUGACCAGAACAUGUGGAGAAACUAACUCCUAAAAACAAGCCAUUUCCUAUUGACUAGGACUCCACUAUUACAUUAUUGAAGACAUGUAAAAACUGAAAGUUAACUACUUCAACAAUUGAUGGUGUCACUUCAAGGAGUUCUCAAUGUCGAUCACGAAUCGAUACUUAACAUCUCUCUUGAUGAGCCUCUCUAGAGCUUCGUUGGCAUAAUCGAUCGGUAUCACUUCGAUAUUUGGGUAUAUCUUCUGCGCUGCACAUAGGUCUAUCAUUUCUUGGGUAUCCUUUGUUCCUCCCGUUAGGCUACCUGAAACAGUUCUCAUAUCUGCCAAAAGUUCACCACGAGCAACUUAGUUCACCUAUCAGGUAUAAAAUUUCAUUUAGUAAUCAGAUUUAAAACAAAAACAUACUGAG
rnacentral:lncRNA from 1 species